UUCUUUUUUCAGGAAAGACCAUUAUGGCAGAGCUUGCAUCUUCCAGUGAUGAACAUGAUAAGGUGCAUGAAGUAGGUAAUGAAACUGGUGAUGAUAAUAAACUUCCAUCUAGUGUGGCAGAAGAUGCAGUGCAAGGUGAAAUUGAUGGCAGUGCUGACAUGGACAGUCAAAUAAUUGCUGGUAGUUCCGAAGCAGAAAUCAACAAUUCUACUGUGGCUACUAUAGCUGACAGCCAAAUACCUUUUGAUCCCUCAGAUAAGGACACUCUUGCAGAAGAUGGCAAUGGUCUGCAACGUGAAGGUACUACUGUGGAUGUGACUGGUUCUAAGGAAGAUGAUAUGGAAGCUGAAGAGAAGCAGAUGGAUGAUAGUCAUUUGCCCGCUGCUUUACAAUCAACUGAGUCAAGCCAGCCCACAGAACAUGCUGCCCCCACACAAGAUGAUGGCAAUGGUCUGCAAUGUGAAGGUACUACUGUUGAUGUGUCUGGUUCUAAGGAAGAUAUUAUGGAAGUUGAGGAGAAGCUGAUUGAUGAUAUUUCCGGAAGCCCUUCUAGUCAUUUGCCUGUUGCUUUAAAAUCAACUGAGUCAAAUCAGCCUGCAGAACAUGCUGUCCCCGCAGAAGAUGAUGGCGAUGGUCUGCAAAGCGAAGGUACCGCUGUUGAUGUGGUUGAUUCCAAGAAAGAUGAUAUGGAAGUUGAAGAAAAGCAGAUUGAUAUCUCUAGAGGCUCAUCUAGCUUUCUGCCUGGCGCUUUAGAAUCAGCUGAAUUAAAUCAACCUGCAGAACAUACUGCCCCCACAGAAGAUCAUGGCAAUUGUCUCCAAAGUGAAGGUACUGCUGUUGAUGUGCCUUGUUCCAAGGAAGAUAAUAUGGAAGUUGAAGACCAGUUUGACGGUAUUUCUAGAGGCCCAUCUAGCUUUUCUCCUGACACUCUAGAAUCAGCUGAGUUAAAUCAAGCUGCAGAACAUGCUGCCCCCACAGAAGAUGAUGGCAAUGGUCCGCAAAGUGAAGGCACUUCUGUUGAUGUGGCUGGUUCUAAGGAGGACAAUAUAGAAGUCGAAGAGAAGAUUGAUGAUAUCUCUAGAGGCUCGUCUAGUCAUUUGCCUGAUGUUUUACAGUCGACUCCAAAUCAGCGUGCAGAGCAAGAGUGUUUAGAUAAUAGUGAUGACGUGAACACAUCUGUUGUUUCCUCCCAUGCCCCAUUAAGUGGCCCCAAAUUUACAUGUGUGAAAGAACUUGAAAAGGCAGAUGAAACCUUGGAAACGAGUGAUGCCCAAGUAGCAGAUGAAGUCUGUUUACAGACAAAUGAUGGUGCUCACAAUAUGGCUUCAGGAAGUUGUUCCACUUUAGAAGACAAAAACGAGGACAGUUCUGCCCAAAUAGCUGAUUGUGAAGAUUUAUUGCUAAGGAAAGGAACUACUGUUGAUGACCUUGAUGGCUGUGUCGAAGGUCACAGUGGCUUGUCCACCCAUUCCAAUGAUGAAGUGCGCAACCUGGUAGAAAUUGUCAAGGGUAUGAAUGAUACUACUGCUGGCAGUGAAGUGCAUGUGGAUCCUGAAAGUCAUGUAUCUGAUGAAGUGUCAAUGCCAGUUGCACCAUCAGAGCUCAAGGUAGAAUUGAAGAACCAAUCAGAACCUGCCUGUCAGUUUGGGGCAGUGAUCGUCGAGGAAUCAAAUGUCAGCUUGGGCAUUCAGACUCCUGCAUUAGCUGAAUCAGAAGAAAUGACAUCAGGAGGUUUCAUGCACGGUAUGCUCUUUUCUUUCAAAGUAGCACGGAUGACUGUUAUUCUUGAUCCUUCAAAUGUGUAUCUUCCAUGUUCUGCUAGAGUUCGAAGAACUGGAGGAGUGUAUUCUUUUGUUUUUCCCUUUGGUUAGUACUGGCAGCUACUCAAGUGCAAUUUUGCCUUUUCAGGUAAAGAAGUUUGUGCUUCAGAACAAACGAAUAUAGGUGCGGCUGCAGAACCUGCAUCUACAAAAGGUUUGCUGGUUUAAAAUUAUGCACUAUUGCAACCAUUCCCUCUUAGAUACUACCUCCGUCCCAUAUAAAUUGCAAUUCUAGCUAAUUUAGGACAUAUUAGUAGGAUUGAAAAAUGACCACAAUGACCUUAUUUAAUGAAUCCAAUAAAUACACACAUUCCAUAUAUAAAAUUGAGUAAAAGGAAAUUUGAGACAUCAAGUUAGAGAUGUGAUGGAAGGAAUGGAGAUUACGAGGAAAUAUGUUUUGAUGUAAUCAAUUUGUUGGGUCCCACAUUAGUAGAAAUACAAUUUUUAUGGGACAAUGGUUCAAAGGUAGAAAUUCAAUUUUUAUGGGACGGAGGUAGUAUAUAUUUUUUGUUCUGAACUUCUAAACUCUGACAAAUAUGCACACAAAAAAGUGGAUGGCACAUUGGCAUUACACAAGUAGAUUUGUCAUCAAAAGUACUUCUAGACUACUAAUAUGUUUUUUACUUUUCCAUACAUAUAAUCUAUACUACUUUAAAAGGUAGUAGUGGUGAUGGCAGUAAAUCUGUCUCCACUACCUCUAUCACUAACGUAUGGGCCCUAUGUGUUGAUGAAACUCCAAUGCUCAAUAAAUUUAAACGAUCCCCAAAAUAACAAUGUCUACACAAAAUAAUGUCCAUAUUAUUUGGUAAGAUCUUUACAAUUAUGUAGUGAAGGAAUCAAUAUAGUUGAAGGGGUCAGAAAGAGCAGGUCUACAUAUUCUUUAAAUGAUGAGCGUGCAGUGCACAUAGCAUGAUUUUUUUUUCAACGCAUAGGCAAUUUGCUAGUUAGAAAAUAAAUUGCAGAUGGGUGUACGGGAGGCAUUGUCUGAAAAGGCAAUUAAAGGGGUACAGAGGUGGUAAUUAAUAUAUAUGAUCAUGUUUACAAUACUAAGUGUAGUUAUUCAUUAGUUUAUCAAUUUUCUAUACAGAUGAUCAUGAUAUGCAUGAAGUUGAUAAAGAGAUUGUUCAUUGUACAAUAUCUUCCCCCAUAGGGGAUCAGGAAAAUCUGCAAGGUAACAUUGAUGGCAAGAUGGACGUUGGCCUGGCGGCUUGCCAGACAGAGUCAGAUUUUGUGAGUGGAAAUGACCAUUCUAGGGAGACUGAUUUAGCAGGCAGCCAGGCACCUUAUGAUGCCUCGGAUAAGGAAGAUACUGCUGCUGAUUUGAUUGGUCCUAAGCAAGCCACUCUCGAGAUCGAAAAAAUGCAGAUUGAUGGUAUUCCUGAAGGUCCUUCUAGCGUGCCUGCUGUUUUGCAGUUAACUGACUCAAAUCAGCCAGCAGAACAAGAGAGAUUAGAGAAUAGUGACUCUAAAUUUGCAUCAACAAAGGACCAGGGCAGAGUGGAUGGAACUUCCAAUUUGAGUGGAGGUGAUAAUGCAAAGUGUAGUCUUACCAAUGAUGAUUCUCAAACUGUGAAUCUAGUAGGAUAUUCACCAUCAGAAGACUCGAAUGAUGAUGAUUCUGUCCAAGCAGCUGAUAGUGAUGGCGUUCUGGGAAAUAAAGAAGGUACUGAUGAUGUUAUCUCUGCUGCAUGUACCGAUGAUGUAUCCAUGCUGAAGACUGAAUCAAUAGAUCGUCAUGGUUCUGACGAAGUUGAUCAUUCCACUGCCCCGUCUGCUGCCAUCAAACAAGAGAGUGGUACUGAAGUUACGUGUGACGCUUCUGUUCCUGUUUCUGAAAGCUCUAUAUCAAAGGAAAUCGGUACAUCGCCUGAGUGUGAUGAUGAUCAAGUGGCUACAGCAGCACCUCAUCCACCAACGCCAUUAUCUGAUGCUACUGAUGUAUCUGCUGAUGUGCAAAUCCCAGCAGGAAUAUCGGAGGCAAAGCUAGAGCAGCCGAACGAAACGACUAGCCCGUCGGGUGCUGCUACUGAAGAAAAUAAUACUGUCGUGAGCACUCAGAUUCCAACAUUAGCUGAAUCAGAAGAUAGAACACCCGCCGAUACUGCUAUUCAAGGUACUCCAUACAAUGUUCUUCUCUAUCCAGAUUAGUGUAUGCUCUUUGCUGUUAUUUUCUGUACGGUGGCUCACAUUACUCCCGCACAUUAUGUGUUCCCUUAGGUACUGAGGUUGACAGCGCUGAGCCAGCAUCUGUAAGUGAUGACGAAAACAAGGUUACAGCAGCUGAUGAUAGUGCACUCCCGUCUACUGGGCCAGAGGAUACAGCGGACGAUAAAAUUGAUAGCAGCGCUGAUGCUAGUGAGAAGUAGGUUAUGACAGACUGAGUAUGUAAAUGAUCUCUCUCAAACCUAGUUGUAAAUGUUACUGCUGAACUGAUACAGCCCAACUACUAUAGUGCCUUAGUUAUAAUUAUUAUUGCAUCUUUUGCUAAUAUUAUGUUAAUUCCACCUGGUGCUUGUCGUUUUUUGUGAGUGGUCUUUAACUACUGAUAUCCAGCGGCCUGCUGGAAUUGUGAUGUCUGAAUUGGUGGGGACUUGCAAAGAACCUGCAAUCGGUAAUCCUGUCAACCCUUGCUGCUGGGAGUAGGUAACUUGGGUAAACCUAGUUGUUGAAAAGUUCGUUUAACUUUGCGUGUAGGCCCUGUGAUGUAGUGCAGGCUGUUGUCCCCUGAGAUAUCAAGCCGGAUCAAUAGGUUAACCCUUUGAUCCAUUGGUAACCCAUUUUAUUCGGCAAGGAUUGUCCCUGUUGAACCAGUAUAGUCGAAGGAACCUAACAAUCAGUACCACCCUAAUUAGUCGAGCAAUGUGCAACCCAGGAAUAUCUCAAAUAAAUGAAUGUUCACGUGCACUGUCGGAUUUGUGGUGCAAUCAAGGCCAUCCUCUGCCUUCGCCCUUCGUGGUACAACGUCAAAGUUUGCCUUAGGUCGGUAGAGGGUACGGAUCCUCCGGCGUAUCCACCGUCCGGCUUAAUUUUUACCCCGUUUGGAUCCCUUCAUUUGGGGCUGAAUUAGAUAAUUGGAUUUGAGUUCUUAUGUUUUAGAAACACAGUACAAAGCUAACACUUACAACACGCGCAUACUCAUCCCUAUAAACACAUACACGCAUACCCUAUCUAUCUCCAGGAGACUGGGCCGACAUAUCUUGAUAUUGACAAAGUCACCACGUGAGGGAUGAACGCAUACACGCAUACCCUAUCUCUAUAAGUAUCUCCAGAAGACUGGGUCGACAUAUCUUGAUAUUGACAAAGUCACCACGUGCGUCUUGCUUUAAUGGUCAACCCAUAUAAAAUGAGCAUAAAUUUUGAAAAUAAGGAACCCUAAAGAUCAAAAUAUUCACAUGGUAUGUUCUUAAGAGUAUGGCCCUAACAUAUAGGGAUUUUUUUUUUGAAACUAUAUUUUUUUCCAGUCUAUAGGAAUAUACAUAUUAAUAAAAAAAUUAACAAAAAUAUACCGUAGUAAGGAUGUGAACUCAUGCGUCAUAUUAGGAAUACGAGGUUGUGGUUUUGUACGUCCAUAACAGACCUACGCGUACGAAUACAUGAGAGCUUGCUCAGCAGGACCCCGCUUCGCUAUUCCCUCACGCGAGUUCGCUUUUCUCCCUAGGAAUAUCAUGAGUUUGCACACUCACCGUGCGAACUCACCGCAAGUUCACAUCCCCACUCCGCGGCAAUGGUAUAUUUUGUCAAUUCUUUUAAAACGUGUAUAUUCAUGUAAAAAAAUACAUCGACUUUACAUGCCUUAUAGAGAUGUCUCAAGUAAAGUUAAAAGUAGAAAAGAUUAAAUUGUUGUCUAAGAUCAAAUUUGUGUUUACAUCUAUUGGAUUUGGAGAUGCCCUAGCAACAUCGGCGGACGGAAUAGUUUGCCCAUACGUGGACCACGUGGAUGCCAAGUUUACCGACCCGGCCCCCUCACCAUCACCAAAUCACCAUUUAAGUUUUUUUUUUUUAACUAGCUCGCGCUCUCUCCCCAAAUCACACGCCCCCAACCACUACGGAAAGGUCAGCACAGUAGCACACACGCUCGCUAAUUAUGCAAUCUUAUUAAAUUUCCUACUAAUAAUCAUGGCUUAGUGCUACCCAACGACAAAUCUGUCGCCUUCGUCGCCGUCUCAGUGGGACAAUGGAGUGACUCACUUGCGGCUGCGGGCCCCACCUGUCGGACAGCGUCCUUAUCUGCUGCGAGCUGUACACGCCGCGUUCGAUUUGCAAAUUACAAGAGGAAUCGAUCAAUUAGCUCUCGAGUGACAAAAAAAAAAUCCCAAUCGAAUUGAAAAUUUGCCAAAUUUUGGUUGGCUCCGAAUGGAAUUCUGAAUUUCUCUGCUUGUCACGAAAAAAAAUUAUGUGUUAACUAAGGGUGAGAUUUACAUGGCCGAAUCUCUUGUGACCCGUGAGGUUGCAAAUUAAUUACAUCGCUCUCAACUCCGGCGAACUCGCCGCCGGCGCCGCCGCCUACAAGAGGGACAACGGCGUGGGUUGGGGGAAGAGGUCGGCGAAUCGCUGGAGGGCCUCGCGCAUCCACCAGUGCGGGCACCGGUCCAUGGCCUGCUGCGGGGAGACCCAGCUGCGGCGCCUGGCCGCCAUCUCCGGCCACCGGUCGAGCUCGUCGGUGACCCGGAGCGGGAAGACGAAGCCCUCGUAGGUGGCGUCGUAGCGGCGGCUCCGGUAGCACCACCGCCCCAGCGAGGCGCCGAUCUCGCCGAGCACCCCGGCCUCCUCCAGGGCCUCCCGCCGCGCCGCCUCGUCCACGGACUCGUCCAGCUCCCACCCGCCCUUGGGGAACAUCACCACGUCGCCGGCGGCGGCGCCCUUCUUCUGCGAGCUGAUCACGAGCACCUCCACCCCGCCGCCGUCGCCCCUCACCCUGUACGGGAUGCACCCCACCACCAUCCUCCCCCCCGUGUUGUCGCUGUACCUCUGCAGCUCCCUCCCCUGCCUCGCCACCAUCACCGCCGCCAUCGCUGGAAUCGAAUCGAAUGCGACCUUCUUUGCUUUGCCUUUGGAGUUUGGAUUGGAUCAGUUGGAUCGAUGGAUGAAUCUUUGCUUGAGCUUAGGAGGAGGAGGAGGAGGAGAUGGGGGGAUUUGGAGGGGAUUUGGUGGGUAUUAAUAGGAUUUGGAGGGGGAGAGGGGGUUGUGAUUGAUCAGCGUCGUCGCCGAGUGAUUAGUGGGCGCGAACGCGACGCGACAAAAAAGGUGGGUAUGGACCACGCGCGCGCGCGGCUUGGUGUGUGUGUGGACACGGCGCAUGGGGCGGGGUGUGUGUUGCUUUCUGUGGCACUGCUCGCUCGGGCAGCUGCCAGCAGGUACAGCAGGUAUAGUAGGCUAUAAGUCAGCUGUAAAUAUAUUUUAAAAAGAUAAAUAAGGAGAGAAAAGAACAGCGGGCUACAGAUUGGUAGCCAGCUGUAGUACGGACUCCACGACACACUGUGUGUAUAAUAAAUGAGACCAUGUAUUAAUAGUGUAGUAUGUAACUAUUGUAUUAAUGAGCUAUUAGGUUGGCUAUAGAUAAAUUAGAGCUAGUAGUUGACUAUACUAUUAAACUUGCUCUUAGAUCAAAGUUUAAUAGUAUAGUCAACUACUAGGUACCUAUUCAUCCGUAGUUAUUUUAAUAACUCAUUCAUACAAUAGUUACAUACUACACUAUCAAUAACCGGUACCACCUGUCAUACACACAUUGCGUCUUGAAGUCCGUACUAUGGCUGGCUAUAAAUCUGUAGCACGCUGCUCUUCUCUCUCCUCAUUUAUCUCCUUAAAAUAUGUUUGCAGCUGGCUUAUAGUUUGCUAUUGUACUUGCUUUUACUACUUACACUUUGCUUCAUCAUCAGUUGUACUCCCACCGUCCUAUAAAAAACGAAUCUAAAACCGGAUGUGAUAUAUUCGUACUAAUAAUCUAGACAUAUGUAGUACUAGGAUUGUCAUAUCCGAUACUAGGUUAAUUUUUUAUGGGACGGAGAGAGUAAACUUGUAUGAAAAUUUUUAUUCUGUUUUUUUAGCUGAUGAUCAGGUAAGGGAGUUGCUAGAAUGUUGGAGUUUUGUGGUUUUUCUUGAUAAGUGGCCACUUGGUCUUGCUUCCUCUUCUAGAGUAAAAUCUGUUUGGACAAAUUGAUUCUAGAGUAAAAACUGUUUGAACAAGUUGAUAGUUUAUGGUCUAUUUCUAGAAGAUUUGGGGUGUAGUAUUGAAUAAGUAGUUGUACUGUUGACGGUUGUGUACUAGUUGCGUGUUACGAGAAUUGAACGGGAAAUAUAUCUUUGUUGCCUUUUCAGGGCAUUAAUUAUCUGAUAGAUGAGUCGAAACUAAACUUUUUAGAAUAAGUGCCUCGAAUUGUACACAUGUAGCUUGAUUGCUAAUCGUAAUAUUGAUUUUUCUUCUUUUUCUUUUUAACAUGGAUUAUCCUCGUGAAAACAAAUGAGAUGAUAAGUUGUAUCACUUUUUUUUCUAAAGAAAAACUGUUGUUAUGUUUCGCAUCAACAAUAAAGAAAUAUUUGUCAUGAUAUACAGCUAAAUUGAUCUUUUCAAUAUGGUGAUAAGAAAAUUAUACGCAACUUCUACUCUUAUAUUUGACAAUUUAAGCAUAUACAGGAUUUCUACAUCAAAUCUAUUACGUUCGUUUUUUCUUUUGUCACUUAAGAGUGUACAAUUUCUGUUUUCACACCAAUAAUUUCAAAGGACAUUAACUAAUCCAACUGUGCGUAAGUACAUUUACCAGACUUUCACUCCAUGGUCCUCUAUUCCAUUAUUAAAAAAAAAGGGAAAAUCAGCCAAUUUAAUGCAUGAUUGCGAAGGGCAAUCAUCAAUGGCUAAAACCCGUGCCACAUGAGCACCAUCCAUCCAUCCAUCAUCUCAGAGGCUAUAUCUCCCUCUCUAUCAUCUCAACGAACGAAUAUCACGUACCGGUCCACCGUGCACCGGGUGCAGCCGGACGGAGAGCAGGUAGGGACAAGCAGAGGACAAACCGCGUAGGACGAGACGAGACGAGAGCGCAUCUCGGCCUUCGCAGCUGCUUCUCGCCCCCACACACACAUCUCCGUCUCCGGACGCCGCUCGCGUCGCGUCGCGUCACGUCACGUCGGCCUCCUCCUCCUCGUCGUCGUCCAUCUCAAGCUUAGCCGCGUACGCGCCUCGUCUCGUCUUCCACCUGUCGAAACAUGAUUUCGGCAAUAAUAAAACGGGGUAGCGCACGAGACCUAAAAGUGGAUGGAUGUGGAGACAAAGGAUUUAGACAGGUUCAGGCCCUCUCAAUGAGAGGUAAUACCCUACUCCUGUUUGGGGAUUUGAAUCCGCCGGGUGUAGUAUAGAUCUAACGAUCAUAUGUGCUCAUGCCCCCUAGAGGGCCUCCUGCCCACCUUAUAUAGGAUGGGGGGCAGGAUUACAAGAUAGAAACCUUAACCAACACGGUAUCGGCUUCCUAAAUCUACUUUACAAUAUUAUCAAAUCAGGACUUUAGGCCGCUCCAUAAUAUAAAAGGAAACGUAAUACCCAAGUCAUGAUCUGUUACAUAUUCCAUACAUAUAUGUUAUCCCCUAUUACUAGUCGGAUAACCAUGCCGUGUGGGUAUGGGGUACCCAUAAUCUCCACAGUAGCCCCUGAGACCUUCACAGUCAAAAAGAUAAUCUUCUCCCGAACUAGAUUAUUCCAAAGCCGAGUACUUCAAUCAUCUUUGCCAUGGUCUCCCGAGUACUUUUACCAAAUCUGAAGACUGUGGAGGGCUGAAAAAUAAAGUCAGGUGCAUCGACUAGAUGCACCUAAUAGGUGUAGCCCUCGACUAUGCGGUUAAGUGAACAAACCAAGCAUAUAGUCAAGGAAUAAAUAAUCCAACCAACCGAGUGGCUUCGAUAAUUAUAGUUAACCAAGCGACUUGAUAUAAAUAUGUAGCAUAUGCGGUGUAAAUCCCUGAAUAACAUGAUCCGAGUGAUAUACCGACUGCUUUGUAAAACAUGAUGAGUGUAACCUAAAGUUGGCUACAUUAUUGAAAAUUCACAUAGCAAAACAGCUAUAAAAAAGCUUGUAUGUUGUGAAUAAAGAAAUUUCCAAAGUAUUGGGCAUACGCCAUGCGCAUACUGCUUUAACAGAUGUGCUUAAGUCCCUAGAAGACACAUGGUUCCACCACACCUGGAAAUAUAUGGCAUAUGUGGUAUAAAAUCCGAGUAAAUAAACUCAUAAAGGAUUUACCAACCGCCUGAAAAAUGACCACAAUAUAUAAUCAGCCUAAGCCAUAAUAUUGGUCAAUAAAAAUGCACACUUACGUGGCAAAAAGCAACGAUAUUGUAUCCAAUCAAUUGCUUAAAAACCCAAACAGCACCAUGACUAUAUUAAAAAGUCAGCGGGGCAGCUAUAUAAAGCUUUACUGUUUGACACCUUUUAAGAUGCAUUGUACCAACUCCUAAAAAGUUGAGUAACUGCGGUAUAAAAGGAUUUUAAGGUAUUGGGCACUUGAUCACGCGCACUUUGGCCUAAGCAAAAAGUGCCUAAGUCCCUAAAAGAACGUGACAGGCCACACCUGAAAAUAUGGGCUGCAGACAUAUUAGGCCUAGACCAAAAAAUAUGCCUUCGACACCCUUUAAAGGAUGACGCAUGUAACAUGCUCUCGAGUAAUAAAUCUUCCGGGUGAUAUAGACCAGGUGUAGCUCAUAUGAAUAGCUUCUGAUCUGAGUGAUUAUCCCUUAUGAGAUACUCCAAAAUAUAUAUAAUAAUUGAAUCCCGACUGGCGCAAGUAUUCGGUUGAUAGCCCUUACGGGGAAUAAUAAUUGGUCCAGUCUUUGAGCAUAGAAAAUAGACUCAUGACUAUGAAUCCAUGUGGAAUGUAUCCGGAACAAGUCCAAAUUGGAGAUAUAAUCCUCACGCUUGAGUUGAUGAGCCCCUGAGCAUAUAGCUUGUCCUUCUGUCAUAGUCAAAAUUGUCUAUUGGCAAUAGCUGACGCAGUCGGCAUGGAGAUGAAAUGACCAACAUGAAGACGAAAUUGCUCAUCAGAAGUAACGGAAGAUGUCAGUGGUAGUAAAGAUGCCACCAAUCAAAUGUAAUGAAGUUGCAUAACCAUGGAGGCGAAGAAACCAGUCGGCAACAGUCAGGUCAGCUAGCAGUGAGGAUGUAGGCGCCCAACAACAACGAAAGAACAGUCGGUGGUGACAAAAGCAAACCGACGAUGAAGACGUAGACGCGCAUCAACGGUGAUGGCGAAAUCCACCAAUCAUGAAGAUGAAGAAAAUAAUCGGCGGCGACAAACGCAUCCGACGGUAAUGAUGAUUAGCGGCAACAGAGAUAGCCGACUAUGAUGACGAAGUUUCCCAUCAACGGCAGCAGAGUAGGCUAUGUUGAUGAGGCUUGACAAGAUGUUGAUGAAGAUGACGAUGUCGGUGAUCCAGUCAAUAGCGAUGUAGCAGCCGAUGAUAACGAUGAGAUCCUCUAUCGGCAGUUGCGUAGUAGGCCAACCGUGAAGACAAAUAAUUGGAGGAGAGUUGAUGUUGUUGCCCAACUCGUCUAAACCGAAAUAUUUGAAGUUGUUGAAGUAGAAUGUCUGUUCCGAAGCAAAGAUGAAGAUAAUGACUCCUGGAGUUGACUCGUUGGUUGAUGAAUUGAUUUCUUCAGCUUGACAUAAAAUUUGUCAAAUUUUGAGCCUUGUAUUUGUGUAGCCCCCGACUCUUUGAUUAGUUGGGAAACAACUGAACAUAGAGUCGAGAACUGUAGCUUCUGGUCGUCGAAUAGUCAUUGCUUGAUUGAAGAUAUGUGUUGAAGAUGUCCAAGUAGAAAUCCGGUAGUGAAGACGCGCAGUUGUGAAGAUAAAAGCACCAGUCGGCGAUGGCAUAAUCAGUCGGCGACAGAAGAUGAUGAUGUCCAUCAGUAGUGGUAGCUGUAUAAACCAGACGUAGAGGUGAGGGCACUAGUCAGCAGUAGACGAGACGACCGGCGGUGAAGAAGAUAAGGCCAAUCAACACUGGCAGAAUCAUGCAGCCAUGGAAGUGAAGAAACCAGUCGGCAGCCAUGGCAAACGUAGGCAGCUUGUGUUGAAGAUACUGAUGCCUAUUAGUAGUGACAGCGAUGUAGCCAGCCGUGAAGAAGGUAGCAUCAGUUGGCGUUAUAACAGGCCAGCCGUGCAGGCAGUGACACCAGUCAGCGGCGGAUGCGGCGGCCGGUCGGUGAAGACGUAGACGCCCAACAACGGCGGCAUAAAGGCCAGCCGUGCAGGCGGAAACACCAGUCGGCGGCUGACGAGGCGGCCGGUCGGUGAAGACGUAGACGCCCAACAACGGCGGCAUAAUAGGCCAGCCAUGCAGGCGGAAACACCAGUCGGCGGCGGACGAGGCGGCCGGUCGGUGAAGACGUAGACGCCCAACAACGGCGGCAUAAUAGGCCAGCCGUGCAGGCGGAAACACCAGUCGGCGGCGGACGAGGCGGCCGGUCGGUGAAGACGUAGACGCCCAACAACGGCGGCAUAAUAGGCCAGCCGUGCAGGCAGAAACACCAGUCGGCGGCGGCGAAGGCAAGCCGGUCGGUGAAGACGUAGACGCCCAACAACGGCAGCAUAAUAGGCCAGCCGUGCAGGCGGAAGCACCAGUCGGCGGCGGACGAGGCGGCCGGUCGGUGAAGACGUAGACGCCCAACAACGGCGGCAUAAUAGCCAGCCGUGCAGGCGGAAACACCAGUCGGCGGCUGACGAGGCGGCCGGUCGGUGAAGACGUAGACGCCCAACAACGGCGGCAUAAUAGGCCAGCCGUGCAGGCGGAAACACCAGUCGGCGGCGGACGAGGCGGCCGGUCGGUGAAGACGUAGACGCCCAACAACGGCGGCAUAAUAGGCCAGCCGUGCAGGCGGAAACACCAGUCGGCGGCGGCGAAGGCAAGCCGGUCGGUGAAGACGUAGACGCCCAACAACGGCGGCAUAAUAGGCCAGCCGUGCAGGCGGAAACACCAGUCGGCGGCGGCGAAGGCAAGCCGGUCGGUGAAGACGUAGACGCCCAACAACGGCCGCAUAAUAGGCCAGCCGUGCAGGCGGAAGCACCAGUCGGCGGCGGACGAGGCGGCCGGUCGGUGAAGACGUAGACGCCCAACAACGGCGGCAUAAUAGGCCAGCCGUGCAGGCGGAAACACCAGUCGGCGGCAGCGAAGGCAAGCCGGUCGGUGAAGACGUAGACGCCCAACAACGGCGGCAUAAUAGGCCAGCCGUGCAGGCGGAAGCACCAGUCGGCGGCGGACGAGGCGGCCGGUCGGUGAAGACGUAGACGCCCAACAACGGCGGCAUAAAGGCCAGCCGUGCAGGCGGAAACACCAGUCGGCGGCUGACGAGGCGGCCGGUCGGUGAAGACGUAGACGCCCAACAACGGCGGCAUAAUAGGCCAGCCGUGCAGGCGGAAACACCAGUCGGCGGCUGACGAGGCGGCCGGUCGGUGAAGACGUAGACGCCCAACAACGGCGGCAUAAUAGGCCAGCCGUGCAGGCGGAAACACCAGUCGGCGGCGGACGAGGCGGCCGGUCGGUGAAGACGUAGACGCCCAACAACGGCGGCAUAAAGGCCAGCCGUGCAGGCGGAAACACCAGUCGGCAGCGGCGAAGGCAAGCCAGUCGGUGAAGACGUAGACGCCCAACAACGGCGGCAUAAAGGCCAGCCGUGCAGGCGGAAACACCAGUCGGCGGCGGCGAAGGCAAGCCGGUCGGUGAAGACGUAGACGCCCAACAACGGCAGCAUAAAGGCCAGCCGUGCAGGCGGAAACACCAGUCGGCAGCGGCGAAGGCAAGCCGGUCGGUGAAGACGUAGACGCCCAACAACGGCGGCAUAAAGGCCAGCCGUGCAGGCGGAAACACCAGUCGGCGGCGGCGAAGGCAAGCCGGUCGGUGAAGACGUAGACGCCCAACAACGGCAGCAUAAUAGGCCAGCCGUGCAGGCGGAAGCACCAGUCGGCGGCGGACGAGGCGGCCGGUCGGUGAAGACGUAGACGCCCAACAACGGCGGCAUAAAGGCCAGCCGUGCAGGCGGAAACACCAGUCGGCGGCGGUCGAGGCGGCCGGUCGGUGAAGACGUAGACGCCCAACAACGGCGGCAUAAAGGCCAGCCGUGCAGGCGGAAACACCAGUCGGCGGCGGUCGAGGCGAGCCGGUGGUGAUGUUCUGACUGAUCCAUUCCUGGAGCGUAAGAGAUAAGCUUAAAGCCAUGAAUCCCUUUUAUGCAUAUCUGGAUCUGGAUCCUGCAGAACAAACAUAUAGGAUGAGUAGUAUCUGAUAUAAAUAUAAUACUCGAGAAAAAUUCAAGCAGUUUAUAAAUACGUAUUUCUUCUCUUGUUAAUUUUGAUUUCCCCGAGCAGAUGACUCAUUACGUUUAAACACUCUGCCCGACUAGUCAUAGCCACCAAGCACUGGGAGUCGGCCUAAGCACUUCCCAAACAUGCAUAUGAGUGACAUGAGUUUCGUCAUUAAUGGAACAAAGUUUCACGGAUCGGAGUUUACUACUCGGGUACUUUUGCAAUUAUUAAGAGCAGAAAAUAAAUUUAUCUCAUCUCUAUGCUUUUGAUUUAUUCCGAAUAAUACUUAGCACCUUGCGUUACUCGGUCCAUCCAACGAGCCCCCGGGUGCUAGGAAUCGGCCCAAAGGCAACCAUCCAUUGGCAAACCAAACGGAAAGCAUAGGAAGAUAGAACUCCAUAACUCGAUAGGUACUUUUGUACUCAGAUUAUGUCGCAAGCAAUCAAGAUAAAUAUUAUGAAAAUUGUUUAAAAAAUACGAUAUAACAUCUAUAGCCCCCGACUCACUAGUCAACGGCGAACCAGUUGAUGUAGUGAGGCAAAGGAAAAGACAAAAUAUCAUAUAAAGAAUAAAAUAAAUGAUGACUUAGCUUUGUAAUAUUCCCUCGGUGACAGCAGAAGUAGCCGAUGUGGGAAUAAAGCAGUCCAUCAAUGGUGACAAAAACACCAGUCGGCGCCAGUGGAACCAAGCCAGUGGUGUAGAUGAUGAAGCCCAUUAACAGCGGCGAAGUCCGCCAACCGUAUAGGCAAAAACACCAAUCGGCAGCGGCGAAGGCCAGCCGGUCGGCGAAGACGUGGACGCCCAUGAACGGUGGUGUGACCAACCAACCGUAUAGGCGAGGACACCAGUCGGCGGCGACGGAGGCAGGCCGGCGGUGAAGUCGUAGACGCCUAACAGCGGCGGCAUAAUAGGCCAGCCGUGUAGGCGGAGGCACCACUCGGCGGCAACGGAGGCAGGCCGGCGGUGAAGUCGUGGACGCCCAACAGCGGCGGCAUAAUAGGCCAGCCGUGUAGGCGGAGGCACCACUCGGCGGCAACGGAGGCAUGCCGGCGGUGAAGACAUGGACGCCCAUGAACGGUGGUGUGACCGACCAACCGUACAGGCGAUGACACCAGUCGGCGGCGACGGAGGCAGGCCGGCGGUGAAGUCGUGGACGCCCAACAGCGGCGGCAUAAUAGGCCAGCCGUGUAGGCGGAGGCACCACUCGGCGGCAACGGAGGCAUGCCGGCGGUGAAGACAUGGACGCCCAUGAACGGUGGUGUGACCAACCGACCGUAUAGGCGAUGACACCAGUCGGCGGCGACGGAGGCAGGCCGGCGGUGAAGUCGUGGACGCCCAACAGCGGCGGCAUAAUAGGCCAGCCGUGUAGGCGGAGGCACCACUCGGCGGCAACGGAGGCAUGCCGGCGGUGAAGACGUAGACGCCCAACAACGGUGGUGUGACCAACCAACCAUAUAGGCGAAGACACCAAUCAGCGGCGACGGAGGCAGGCCGGCGGUGAAGACGAUAUCGCCAUCAGCAACGGCAGCGGCGCACACCAACCGUGGAGGCGAUGAAACCAAUCGGCAGCGACGGAGGCAGGCCGGCGGUGAAGUCGUAGACGCCCAACAGCGGCGGCAUAAUAGGCCAGCCGUGUAGGCGGAGGCACCAGUCGGCGGCGACGGAGGCAGGCCGGCGGUGAAGUCGUAGACGCCCAACAGCGGCGGCAUAAUAGGCCAGCCGUGUAGACGGAGGCACCAAUCGGCGGCGACGGAGGCAGGCCGGCGGUGAAGUCGUAGACGCCCAACAGCGGCGGCAUAAUAGGCCAGCCGUGUAGGCGGAGGCACCAGUCGGCGGCGACGGAGACAGGCCGGCGGUGAAGUCGUAGACGCCCAACAGCGGCGGCAUAAUAGGCCAGCCGUGUAGGCGGAGGCACCACUCGGCGGCGACGGCGGCAGGCCGGCGGUGAAGUCGUAGACGCCCAACAGCGGCGGCAUAAUAGGCCAGCCGUGUAGGCGAGGACACCAGUCGGCGGCGACGGAGUGAAUAGGCCAGCCGUGUAGGCGGAGGCACCACUCGGCGGCGACGGAGGCAGGCCGGCGGUGAAGUCGUAGACGCCCAACAGCGGCGGCAUAAUAGGCCAGCCGUGCAGGCGGAAACACCAGUCGGCGGCGGCGAAGGCCAGCCGGUCGGUGAAGACAUGGACGCCCAUGAACGGUGGUGUGACCGACCAACCGUAUAGGCGAUGACACCAGUCGGCGGCGACGGAGGCAGGCCGGCGGUGAAGUCGUUGUUGCUAUCAGCAAUGGCGGUGGCGAGGACAAGCCGGCGGAGUGGACUCGCGGCCGAUCGACCGGAAAGCUGAGACGCCUCGAGUCCAUGACCAGCAUCAAUCGCCUCAAUAGUGCCGCGUAGUUAUAUGCGAACAACAACAAAAAAUAGCAAGAAAUUAAUCUGAGAUUAAAAAUCAAUAUGAUAAAUAAUGAUAAAAAUCAGAUUGAGUUUCCCCCUGACUGAUUUGGAUCAAGUCAGAGAAGAGGAGCUUGAAGAAGUGGUCGACGGAAAGGAAGUGAAAACUCCCAAAGCGAAAGCGAAGUCGGCGACUCAUGAAAUUGAUUCCAUCGCGCUCGUUGAUAGGAAACUCGACGCAACCCCUACCUGGCGCGCCAACUGUCGAAACAUGAUUUCGGCAAUAAUAAAACGGGGUAGCGCACGAGACCUAAAAGUGGAUGGAUGUGGAGACAAAGGAUUUAGACAGGUUCAGGCCCUCUCAAUGAGAGGUAAUACCCUACUCCUGUUUGGGGAUUUGAAUCCGCCGGGUGUAGUAUAGAUCUAACGAUCAUAUGUGCUCAUGCCCCCUAGAGGGCCUCCUGCCCACCUUAUAUAGGAUGGGGGGCAGGAUUACAAGAUAGAAACCUUAACCAACACGGUAUCGGCUUCCUAAAUCUACUUUACAAUAUUAUCAAAUCAGGACUUUAGGCCGCUCCAUAAUAUAAAAGGAAACGUAAUACCCAAGUCAUGAUCUGUUACAUAUUCCAUACAUAUAUGUUAUCCCCUAUUACUAGUCGGAUAACCAUGCCGUGUGGGUAUGGGGUACACAUAAUCUCCACACCACCCUGGGCCUCCCCGUGCGCGCGGCCAUGCGUGCGUACGCCCAAGAAGACGCACUAGUUUACGACCCGAAAUCGAUCGGGCAAAAGUUUCCACGGGAAGUCCCCGUCUCUCCGAUCGGCCGUUUUGUUGCUGCUGCGUCCGUGCACGUGCAGAUCGUUGUUGGUUGGUUGGUCCUAUGCUGUGGCUGGAAAAACAUACUACCUCUAUAUUUUAUUAAUGUAUGACACCGUUGAUUUUUUUUUUAACAUUUGACCAUUCGUCUUAUUAAAAAAAUUUAUAUAAUUAUCAUUUAUUUUAUUAUGACUUAAUUCGUCAUCAAAUGUUCUUUAAGCAUGACAUAAAUAUUUUUCAUAUUUGCAUAAAAAUUUUGAAUAAAACGAAUGGCCAAACGUUAGUCGAAAAGUCAACGGCGUCAUACAUUAAAAUACUACGGAGGGAGUAUAUUUUUUUUUACUACCAACCAACAGUUAUCUCCAUCACUUGUUGGUUGUCUUCGUUGUCGUUGGAGCGUCUCGUGAUGAUGAUGAGGGGUAGUGCCGUAGUGGUGGUGGUGGUGGUUAAGUGGCGACUCAUCAAUCAUGUGUUCUUUUGGACUUGAACCGAACAGUAUGCGGGUAAAUUUGCACGCUGCGACCAGUCCAUAUAUCCCUGUAGAGUCCAUGGGAAGAGAGUCACGGUGAAAUUUUAAUACUUUUACUAGGAUCAAGAUCUGGUGCAGUCGUUACUACGACUAUAACUUUAGCAGUUGCAGUGCAGCCGAUGGAUCAAAAAUCAACGGCUCAGGUGGCAGGAAAAUACUAUUCAAAAAACACUGUAGCAAAUCUGUACUAUAGCGAUUACUGUUGCAUCAAUGGUGCAACAGGAUGACAGAGCGAAUCUGGACGUUGGCUCCAACGGCUAUAACAUGCUCCGACUGCUAAAGUUGCAGUCGUUACUACUACAGCACCGGAUCUCAAUUCCUUUUACUACUACUACUCUUCUAUUUAACCAGUCACAUGCAUGUGUGUUGUAACGAACAGACAGGAUCCAGAGAACAUGGUUUAAUUUGAUCAGGGAAACAUGUUUUUAAUUUUUUUUCUACCAUAUUUUUUAUCGGUUGGUCUUUUUUAUUUUUUGCACCAGUAUUUUUUCCGGAGCAUUUUUUAGAGCAUCACCAAUAGAUAACAAAAAUCCAUCUAAAUCCUUAAUAGAACUCGAGAUGUAAAAAUAUUCCUCAAUAGAUCGUCUAAAAUUGACUUCCUAAAAUAAAAAAUCCGGCCACCCAUAAAACAAUAAAAAAUGUUUUUGCCUAUCCCACAUUAUCGUUGUCAUUUGUGUGUCCCUCUCUCCACACACCCACUAUGGAUUAACCUCGCCUAUAGGUGUGUGGAAAAAAAAAGUAGACCUUGGGGGUUGGGUAUUUCAAUAGGGAUUAUGUUGGAUUUGAUUUUUCAACAAAAUAAUCCCUAAAUUAUAUGAUUGAUAUAUGAGGUUGAUUUUUCAGAUAUUGUUUAUCAUGUUAUCAUGGAAAGAGGAUGAUUAUGUUUUUAAAGUAGUAGAGAUUUCAAAAUGCCCAGAAUAAUUUAUUGUUUAGCAAUAUAUAUACUGUAUCUUCUUUCAAGAUGAAAAAACAAGGGAACAUUUUUUUUUUGCACGAACAAGGAAAUGUUUUAGACAAGCGGCCACCGUUAUGCAAGUUUAAUUGAUGCAAGAUUCGAAAUUUCCAAACCUCCAAAUCUCCAAUAUAGAAAGCAUUGUUAAAUUAUUUACGGGUCCAUCGUUUCGCUUUUUCGUAGCAUAUUUGCAAACGAAAAGUGAUUUGUGAAUAAAACUUUUAUAUGCGUGUUCUUAAUGAUCUAAAAGCAAAGGCUGAAAAAUAAACUUCGAUGAGAAAACCUCAAAAUCAGCUCCAAAUUUAGAGUUGGAAAUUUAAAUUUUAGCUGAUAAGCAUAAACAUAAGUGAAAAGAUGAGACCCUUUUACUGUGUAGACGUAUGGUAGCAUACCCAAAGUACGACAUCAUUAUAUUAUGACACUUGUUGUAAACAAAAAAUUAUAUUAUGACACUGGUGAACCAUUAUAUUUUCCGGAAUUCACCCUACCUCACGGUGCCGCCAAGCUGAGGUUUUUAGCAGCAACUACUCGUACGUGACCAACAAGUUCUCGAUGACCCAUUUUCGAAACACGUUAAAAAUGGGUGGGAAAAAAAAUCACGGCGGAACGUACGCGUGUCGCCCAGCGGCCACGCGACGGCGCCGCAGUAUCUUGAGGUCACCGGCCGCCUUCCAUCGUCCAUCCGUUUCCGUGGUGGUGUCGGUUGCCCGCGCGCGCGCGCGUCGGUGCCGAAACCUGCGGGCGCUGACACGCACCGGAUUGGAUGCCGUGCCGGCUGCGUCGGAGAUGGAUGAAUAGAUACCCCCCGUGCAUGUGCGUUGCAUCAUCAGCCACAGCCACAAUUCUUGGGUGGUGAGGCCGGUGCUGAGCGGCAAGACGAUCAAAGUCGUCGUCUUCGUCGUCGUCCUGGCCAGUCGCCAAUCUCAAGCUUACCUUCUCCUGACGUCCUGCAUGGCGGCAGCAGCAGCAUGCAGGCAUGCGUAUGGGACGGCGGCCGCCGGCGGAUUCUGCGGCCGACCAGUGCCGACCACUAAACAACACUUGUAAUAAUCAAUCUAUCGGGAAAGUCUACUUGUUAGUACUUGAGAAUCGAGUAGACGAUGUAGUAAUCUCUUGUAUAAAAAUAUAAGAUAUUUUGAGACAGAAGAAAUACUAGUAUCUAACAAAGCGUCAUAAGUAAUUAAUUAAUGUCAUCUUAAAAAUUCAUCAAAAAGUCUAAAAACGUACUAACAAUAAUGGUACGCGUGUUGAAAAUCGAAUUAAACAAAUGGUAAAAACAAUUAACAAAUUAUAAAUAGUACCCCAGCAAAAAAAAAUUACAAAUAGUAAGUAUUUACAGUUUUUUUUGCAUGAAUUAAAUUUAAACUUAUAUAUUUAUGGUGUGAUAUAUCACAAUGUUUAUUUAUCUUAUUAUUUUUUGUUUCUUAAUGGUAUAUACAAAACGAGAAAACGUCCUCUCUGGAGGAACGAAAAUCCACCUCCUUACGUCCUCUCUGCUUAUCAAUCCUCCAAUCUCUGCUGUCGUCGUCUCGAGAUAGGCUGCUAGUACCAACAAAAAGAGGGGGGUUUGUUUGACAUGUUUGCAGUACUGCAGGAGUGCAGGUAGUCCUCUCGUGAUCGUGAUGCCAUGCAUGCUGAGAUUAAGAAAAUGGUAAUAGUGCCGUACACGUAGGCGCGAGACCAACCGAAGUCGGCCGGACGGUUCCAGCAAGGACCCCAUGCUUAGCUUAUUGACAAGGCUUAAGAUUAUAGCAGACACGCUAACGAAGGCCUGGAGUUGCUGGCUUGCUGUCGUUUGUGAAGCCACAGCACAUCCAUACGUAGUACCGGAGAUUAUUAGCGAUUAGGUGUGUAUGAACUCAUGUCCAUUUCCUUUCACAGUGGCGUUCUUUUCUUUUCCUGGUGUGUCACAGUAGUGUGUUUUUGCUUCUAUUGGUUCUCUGCAAAGGUCAAAUUUGAACUAAAUGUGCACGGUAGCUCUAAUUUGUUAGUCCAUAAAUGGUACUUCCUCCGUUUCAUAUUACUACCUCCGUCCCAUAAAAAAUAAAUUUCUAGAGAAUUAAGGACAUAUUAGGAGGAUAGACAAAUAACUACAAUAACCCUAUUUAAUGAUCACAGUACAUGCAUAUAUUCCAUAUAUAAACUUGAUUAAAAGGAAUGUCAAGACAAUGGAUUAGAGAUGGGAUGGAAGGAAAGAAGAUUACAAGGAAAUGUAAUCAGUUUACUGGGUCCCACAUUAGUAGAAAUACAAUUUUUAUGGGGCAAUGGUUCAAAGGUAGAAAUUCAAUUUUUAUGGGAUGGAGGUAGUAUAAGACUUCCUAGCAUUGCCCACAUUCAUAUAUAUGUUAAUGAAUCUAGACAUAUAUGUGUGCCUAGAUUCAUUAACAUCUAUAUGAAUGUGGGCAAUGCUAUAAAGUCUUAUAACCUGAAACGGAAAUUGGAUCAUGGCAUUACAUUGUAUUUUUUGCUUCAAUUGGUUCUCUGCGUAGGUCAAAUAUCAACCAAUUAUGUGCGGGAGCUCCAAUUUAUUAGCCGAUAAAGGAUUAAUUGGAUCAUGUUAUUACAAAUUUAUAAUACUGAAAAUAUAUCAUUAUUACUAUUCGUAAAACCUACCACAUGCCAUUAAAAUUUUAUUUAAUUUAAGCCAUGUCAUCUCUGUCAAGUUUUCUUUUCAGCAUCUAGAUUUUGAAAAAAACCAUCUUCCAUCGCCACUGCCAUCAAGGACAACCACUGGAUAGUGUCCAAGCCUCCUCACCGCCCUCGCUGUCAUCCAUAGAGAAGAUAAAGGGCAGCAAGGUCAUAGCCUUGCGAGGAGGCGACAAUAUAGGGGCUCGCAUCCACCGGUAGAUCUAAGGAAAGCAAGGUGGAGGAUGACCGAGGAGAUGACGAUGGAGGUGUGGGCCAUGAACAAAUGUGACAGUGUGACAGUGAGCGGGACCUUCUGGUUUGGUUUCAGCGACAUGCACUUGAGUUGAUCCAACAACAAUGAGAAUGAGAGCUUUUGAUCCGGUGUUAGCAAUGGGCGAAGUGAGGCCACGUUCACACGUCUCGUCAGGUGCACUUUGCAGUGCCGCGGGCCUCCGCCAGCAUAUCGUCUGCUAAUUGUAUUGUACUUGUAUGCCUUGUCGGUCGUCUUAGGUCUGGAUGAAAUGGUGUUGGGGCCAAGUUGAUAGAAAAUUUGAUGACGACAACAAAUGGAAUUUUAUAAAAUUUCAGUAGCAUAGAGCAAUUUUCAUAAAUAGUAAUAAUAUAUUUUUCAAUACGAUAAAUUUAUAAUGGUAUGAUCCAUUUAACCCAAUAGAUAAAUAUAAUUUCAUUUAUUUGUCCCUGCAAGCUGGUUUUACUUCUUAUUUGUCCUUGUGCAAUUGUCUCUUCUCUCAUCGAAUAGCCAUUUUAAUUUUUCUCCCUUGUUUGCCCAAUAAUGUAUUAAAACAUAUAUCAUCUUUUACCUUAAAAAUACAUGUAUAUUAUAUUAAACAACAAUAGUUUUAAGAACAAAAAAAAAUGUGCUUUAAAUUAUUGUCCAUAAUACAGUGUUUGUGAGUGAGUGAACCACACACACUCCUAUUAACAAUCUAGCUAGACAUAUAUGUGAGAGCUGUAUUAUUGUUGUCUUAGAUGCCCUGGCAAGAACAAACACAAAGCAUGGCCGACAAGAUUCUUGAUUGGCAAAACCAGCCUCCUGGAGCUGCAACCCAACGGUGUCACCGGCCGGUACAAACCAGGCUGGCCAUUAUUAGCACAUGACAGCCGGCGAGAGCAUCUAGCUAAUGCAACGCUCGUGGCUCUGUCUUUUCUGGCGAAGUGAGAUUUAGCAGUUAUUGCGGUUGCAUAUGCAUGAUUGCAUCUCUUAUCUUCUUGUUUCUUUGUCUCAACACCUAAUUUUUGGUGUGAUAUAUGAUUGAUAUCAUGAGUGCCCUACCUCAAUCCAUUUAUCAACUUUAUAUAUAUAUAUAUAUAUAUAUAUAUAUGCACGAUUGACUAGUCCAUGAUUUGCCUGUUAAUUGCGUCUGUUUUUUUUAUAUAUUUAAGGAUGAUUUUAUAGCUCUUGACUGAAGCAACAGAGAACCACCACAUUGUAUUCCAUCAAUUCCAGCCCAUUGAAUUGGAGGGAUUUUAAAACAUCAGAUGAUUUGGCAUGUCGGCACCAUUAUCAUGCAUGCUGACUAUCUAUCGAUCUACGAAUUCAAUAAAGUAUAUCUACAUAUAUAUAUAUAUCCAGAAGAAACGGAAUGGCAAUUACGUGCAUGGCAGAGUCAAUGUUCUAGAUUGAGUACUCAAACCGAAUGUCAAAAUUAGUAGGCAGUUGCCGUCAAGUACCGUUGCCCUAACGUAUUUAGUACUGUUGCCUGAUGUACCUCUCUGGGGGCCUAUUCGGUUCACAGGAUUUUCAAAUCACAGGAAUAGAAAAAACGUAGGAAUAAUAUAGGAAUACACGUGCAAAACAAAGGAUUGGAACACAGGAAUUUUUCCUACACUAGGGCUUAUUCGUUUCAAAGGAAUUGCAAAGGAAAAGUAUAGGAAUAGGAAUGGGUUUUAAACUACCAUUCGUUUCAUAUGAAUGCACCAUAGGAAAACUGUAGGAAAGUUUUCCAUUCCUCCAUUUUUGAAGGAAAAGCAUAGGGAAAAAUAAUCCACUCCAACCUAAUGUUUGCAUUCCUUUGGUUGGCUUGCUCAACAACAUAGGAAAAAUUCCUGUGUUUUUCAAUCCAUAGGUUUGCACAUGUAUUCCUGUAGUAUUCCUACGUUUUUCCUGUUCCUACGUUUUGAAAAUCCUGUGUACCGAACGAGCCCUAAGCUAAACAAAAGAGGAUGGAGUGGAUGUUUUCAUUCCUAUGGAAUUAGUACAUUUUGGAAGAUUUUUGGAGGAUUGGCAUAGUGUUCCUAUGGAAAAUUUUCCUUUGAAUCCUACAAACCGAAUGCAUAAAUAGUACUUAUUCCAAAGGAAUUGAGAUUCCCUUUAAGAAUCCUUCAAAACGAAUAAGGCCUCAAGUCGACAGCUUAAUAUCAUUUGGUAUAUUAGAGGAAAAACGAAAUGGCAUACUUGUAAAUGAAAAAUAAUUUAUGAAUAAAACUUUUAUAUAGUGUUCUUUACGAUCUAAAAGCAGAGGAUGAAAAAUAAAGUAUGAUGAAAAAAACCUAAAAUCAACUCCAAAUUUAACAUUGAAAAUUUAAAUUUUGGCUGAUAAGCAUAAGCAUAAACGACAAGACAGACUGUAAGUUUUCUCUUAAUUAGUAGUUUGAUGACAACUAAACAUAUACAAAUACACAGGUGACAGGUCAAUCUGAUAUCCAUAAAUAUUAUAUAUAUGUAGGGAGAGUUUCAAUAAGAUUUUUGUAAAAUCAGAGAUAUAUUAAGUUGUUGAUUUCCAUCUCUUAGAAGUGUGUGUUAUACGUCUAUCUGUAUGGAUGUAAUUAGUGUGAUGUUGUGUGUAGUGGUGUGUAGCCGUGUAGGCGUAUGUGCAUGCAGUGCAAUCGAAAAAAGAUACAUUUUAUUCUCAUGUCCAACUUUAAUUGUCUAUCUUAUUUAAACUUUUUUUAUAAUUAGUGUUUUUAUUAUUAUUAGAUGAUAAAACAUGAAUAAUACUUUAUGCGUGACUUAUGUUUUUAAUAUUAAAAAAAUAAAAAAUAAUAUAGAUGACUAAAAUUAGACACGAAAACUUAUAACCACGCUUGAAAGGAACGGAGGGAGUACUAUUUUUUACCGGAGUUUUUGACAACUACUUACCGGUUAUAUAAGCUAGGUCAUCAGACAGGAUUAAUUAGUGGGUUACUAUUAUUCCACGCUUCUGGAUACAUUGCAUCAAACGUCAAGACUUGGAGCAUCAUAUACAGCACGACUCAGACCGUACGCUGCGCGGCAGCCGCGAUCAACCGAUCAGAUCAGCGAUCUCCGUGGCGGCCGCCGCGGCGAGCACCGACCCGGCGACGGCGACCCGCGCGCUAGCUGCGCCGUUUAGUUUACUCAUCUCGCGUCGCGACGGUUUUGGGUUGGAAUCAAUCGAUCGAUCGAUCGAUCUGACGACACGAGUCACGUACGCGACGGGCGCCGCCCCCGCGUGCGCGUCGGCGCCGACUUCUCCGCGAAUCGCGUGCCGCCUACGUGUACCCUGUAGCUAGUGCGUUUGAUAGGGAGUCGCAUGGACUGAUCGAUCGCUCGAUCGGCUGGUGGGUGUGCGCGGUGAGUGAGGCCAGCUAGCGGCGCCCGGGUAAAAGGGGUUGACUCGUCAGCCCUGCCUACGACGUUGUUCUACCACUACGUGAACCAGAUGGCUAGCGGCAUUUGUAGACGUACGUACGAUUGGUUGGGACUUUACUCAAACGAACUACGCAAAAAUCGAACAAGAAGCAAUAUACAAGUUCUGUUUAUUACUUGCAAUGAACCAUUUCAAAGGCUAUAUCGAUCGGUGGUUGCAGCUUGCUGAUCCUUUUCCCCGAUUGCCCCCGAUCCUUGAAGAUGUUUUCGAGCUAUAUGUGUAUGCAUAAUGAUUCUACAGUGUUAGUCCGUGCGUAUUUGUACCUUUCUAUAAAUAUUUACCAUACUUUUUAAAUGGCAUUUGCAAAAAGAAAAAGUGAGGCGAAAUCUUAUAGAUUUCACAUUGUCGGAUUUGCGCCAAGAUUUUUGCCUGGGAUCUGUCUCUACAUUUGGUAAGCUUCUUGAUCUGCUUCGGCACAGGUGACACCCUAGAUUCGAGGACCUACAUAUUAUAGGGUUUAGGCGUUUGGGAUCAAAGUUGGAGUAGAAAGGAGUUGGGAGAGAGGGUAGGAGUUUCUCCAGGCUUAGAGGGAUAACCCUAGGCGAUGGUUAGACCGGCAUUGGGUGGUGAACAUGGACAAGCCAUGAGGCGGUGGGUAGCAGGGUUAACAACGAGGGAGCCACAGAGACAAAGGAGGAUAGUUGGCAAGGUUGGGAGCAGCAUGCUGACUAGGAGGGAGGCGUCAUGUGGCUCUGCUAAGGAAACAGGGAGGGAGAGAAAAGAUAAGGUUUUAGUGGUACUGUAAUUACACGAAUCUUGAUGUAAUCUAAACAGUCCAAAAGGCAUUGUGAUGGGGGGUGUUAUUAUAAGUAUUAUAUAUGUAAUCCUAAUAUUUAUGCAUAGCUACCGACUAUCUGUACGAGUUAUGUAGUAAAAGUUAAAUUAUGGGUGUCGAUCGUUUGGGCAAGCUACCGUCAAGUAAUUAAUCGAAAUAUGAACGAUUAUUCGGAAUUAUAUGGAUAAUUUGUCAUUCAUACAAAUAAAAUAUGUUUGUUAAAUUUUAGAGAUAUUUUAAAUACAUCAUGUUCUUUGUAUAAUCACUAAUAUAAUAAUCAAACUAGUGUGUCGAAUAACCAUGCUACUAUCUAAUAUAUAGAGUAUAUCGCUUACUUAUAGAAAUAUCUUUACAAGUCAAAUAGAGAUCAAUUAACUUCAAAGGUUGUGCGUGUGUAUGAUAGAGAUAUUGACUUCAAUUCAAAAGUCUCGAUCUUAAUUUGCGCGCAUGCUGAAAUUUAUAGUCUUUUUUUAUUGUUAGAUUUAAACUCUCUUAUAAGGCCAUGUUGAUUGAAUGGCCUUAUAUAUGGCAGUGGACUACAAGCUCUCCGCGUGCUUCAGCCUUUAGGAAGUGGUUUGGAUACUAGCUAUAUACUCCAUAAGAGACAUUUUAUUUGACAUGUUUACUUCAAGCAGAAAUGCACACAAGUCUAAAUAGGAUGAUCAUAUAGUACACACAAGUGCACAUAUAUAUAAUACGCUUUUUAAAUUAAACUUCCUUUUAUUAAAGUAAUCCGCGUGCAAAGCGAUCUGCAGAAGGUACGGCGUCCAAGCGUGCAAGGACUAGACAUUGGAGCCAACAGCAUUUUUAUGGAGUAGAUAAACAAAAUUGAAUUUGAUCUACGCACGUCUGGACAAAACACAAUAUAAUAGAAUAAUCAAUAAAUGAUUGAGAUCAGCAAACACCAUCAAGACAUGAUGAAAACGAAAUGCAUCUGUCCAUAACAGGGUAUACAAUAAUUUGGUUUAUGAUUCUAGGCGUGGUUGUGCUUACUGCCACAUCAACAGUAAGCAUAACAAAUACUCCCUCCAUCUUAAAAAAGACCCUAACAUAGAAUUGGAAUGUGACAUAAUCUAGUACAGCUACCACUUUCACUGCCGAUUCCUCGUAAGCUCAUUAUUGAGUUGGCGAAGUGUUGUUGCCAUCACCUACACCCGAGAGCUCAGAGCUAAGGGCUGCCUUACCUGGCUUUGCAACACCUCUCCUCUAUUGGCCUACACCAGCAUCUCUUGUACCAUCAUCGCUGUCAUUUUGUCAUUCGUGCGGCUAUUGCUCUUGCUUAGAUCGGCCCAUUUUGGUAGCGCCAAACUUGGGGAGGCUACAUCCGGCAGCCCCUUAGGAUGGCCAAAUCUUCAAAGGUUCUAGGAGAGUGAAGUAGCCACAUGGCAACUAAAAGAGAGAGGCACUGGGCUUUAGGCUUAGCAAUGUGGACGAUCGAUCAAUGCCAAGUCGUCUGAUCGGUUGGUUCAAUACCUCAUUUAGUCAUUUAGCUGUAUUUAUUUCUCCGUAGUACUAGUUUAUGAUAAAAGUCAUUGCAGUUUUUUAUUUUACCAUGAACCAGUAGUAAUAUUAUGUAAAAUUCGAUGGUGAUACUACCAUUGCUGGUGUCGAUGGGUGAUACCCUAAUCACAGAAUCCGUAUCUAUAUGGUUUAUUUGGGUGACUUAAGCAUCGACAGAUAUGAGGAUACAAACGAAUCUGUAAAGAGAGCAAAGAAGACAGGGACCCCUUGAUGACGGGCAAUAGCCCUACUCCUAUUAGUCGGAGCCAUUAGAUAUUAAUAUCUCACGAGUAUAAGGGGUGAAUAUAAUCUAGUCUGCCGGUAUAUCGGCGUAAAGCUUGGGCAUGGUGGUUGAUGGCUAACUGUUGUCGGCUUCCUCGAGUAGUGACUAGAUAAGAUCGGAUAUGACUUAUAUUGAUUCGUGCCUUUCCUUGGGAAGUCUUAUAUUUAUAACCUCAGAUAUUGUCUUGUCCAAGUUAAAUUAGAGAAGCAAAUAUGGAUGGUUGGGUUCAAAUAAGAUUUUAUUUCUUUUUUUCCCUUAUUUCGAAUUUCUUUCUUAUCUACUCAAGACUUUAGCCAUAUAUAUGAUGCUUGUUUCCGUACCAGACUUGACAUAUGGUGGGCAUGCCAAGCUAAGUACAUAUGCAUAUGGUAUCUUAUAUUUAGAACACUGCCAGCUGGUUUUUGUCACUACUGAUUCUAGGUCAAUCAUAAUUAAUUGAAAGGGGAUGGCAGAUGGGUGGUUUGAUAGGAGUGAUAGUAAGAAUUUGUUGAUCAGGAUUAUGUCGGCCAUUAAGAAUUAAAGGAAUUCUUGGUUUAGUGCCGAAAUGAAUCCUGUCUAACUUUGGUAAUGCUGAGAUUUUGCCAUUGUCAAUAUUUUUUUUUUAAAAAAAACACAGACGUUCAUAACGCGCGCACACACUCAUACUCUAUCGCUAUCGCUAUGAGAACCUUCAGAAGGCUAGACCGGCAUAUAUUAAGAAUGACAAAGUCACCAAGAGUGUCUCGCUGACGACGAGUAUGUUAUCUACCGUUGAAAGAAUAAUUAGCCGUAGAUACGAGCAUGCAUGUCAAAGUUUAGGACUUAAAACCAAGUGAGCUGGUUCUACCAUAAGGAACCUAACUAGUUGGGUUAUGCUCACUUUGUUGUCAUUGUCAAUAUGUGGUAAUGUAGAGCUCAAGUGAAGUAUGUUUGGUUUGUUGUCGUUAUCAUUUUCUUGAACAAACUAAACAUACUCUAGCCAUUAUUAUCCUACUAAAAAUUUUUAUUUUAAAAGCUUCCACUCUUAAAAACUUUAUUAAAAUUUAGUAAGACUUCAAACCAAGCAUGUCCCAAUACUAUCAAAGUUUGGUAAUACGAAAUGUACCAAAAUUUUAUUAUCAGUUUCGAUAUGAUUGAUUUAAGCAACAAACCAAAUAGUAUGACUCAAAUUUUGAUGGUGAGAGGAUACUAGGCUGUGUUCGGUUACUGGGGUUGGGAACUAAUCCCUCCCGCACGGAAAACGGAAUGGUCUAUUUUUUCAGAUAAUGGAAUGAAAUAUCCCGGCCUUUACUCAGAAGAACUACAGCCAAUUAUUACACAAAGAAGCACACUUAAAAAGUCGUAGUCUAAAAUAAACAAGCACACCAACCAAAAAUAAAACAAGACCUAACAUGACAAGAAAAACAUUAUUCCAGUGAAUCUCCAUCCAUGAUUGGCAAAAAGUUGCAUAACCGUUGACUCAAGGUUAUGACAUGCAACAUUAAGGAAAUCUCCAUCUUCCUCACACUUUUGUAGUUGAGCCCACAACCGAAGCCAAUAUUAGCGCGUGAUUAAUUAAGUAUUAGCUUUUUAAAAACAUGGAUUAAUUUGAAUUUUUUAAGCAACUUUCAUAUAGAAACUUUUUGCAAAAACACACUGUUUAGUAGUUUGAAAAGCGUGCGCGCGGAAAACGAGGGAGAGGGGCCAGGAAAAGGGAUAUCUGAACACACCCUAAGGCUUUUGUUUGGAUUGUUGUGUAAUAUUGGCCACCAAAAUUUAGUACUCCUAGUAGGGUUUGUCUUGGCAACAAAACAAAUCAACACACACUACACCCAUACUUUCAUCAUUUAUAAACGAUUGUUACACCUGAGGAAAGUUUGUGAAUUAUUGCAUGUCAGAUUUGUAGCGAUGCACCGGUGACCACUGUGACUGGUGAGAUUGAUGGAACCAGAGAGUAUAUACACUAAACUAGCUAGCACAAUCCCCUUCAAAAUCGUGAGAAGUGUAGUGAACCGCAAGACGCCAUCAAAAGUGACCACUCAAGUGGGCAACAGCUAGAAUGUGGAGCAAAACAUGCCACACAUCGCAUUUGCAAAACACACACCUCUCCAACAAAGCAAUCGUCAUCCGCCCCAUCACCAAUGCUAACUAUUAUCUCCAAAUGAAAAUAUAAAAGGUUUCAGGGUUUAAUACAAAUAUCAAGAAAGUUGAUGAAAUUAAAUAGUGAAGAUUAUAAUUGAUUGAGAAAAGAAGAUACGUACUGAAUUUGAAUGGUGGAAUAUUAUGACUAAUUGAUAAAAAUUACAUGUAAAAAAGUUGUUAUAUUUUAGCAUAAAUUCUGGAGUAUUUUGAAACUGAACGACUAUAAUUAUAGUCUAGAUAGAUAUGACCUGAACGGCCACGUCCUCGUCGUCCUGAGCUAAUAAAACCGAAAAGCAAGACACAUGACUGAUCACGACACGCUGAUGUGCCGCGAUUAGCGAGUGGCUGUCACAUAUCCGGAGAUGAGAUAAUCAACACGGUGGAUUGAUUAGCUGAUUACAACUGUACGGUCCACCCGGCCGGCGAUCGUGCCGUCGGUAGUGACCCGAAUUAAACGGACGGCGAUGCAGCACCGGCGCGCGCGUGCUCUAAUUUUUUUUGCACUGCCGGUCAACGGUCAGCGCUUUGCCGAUUGAUUAAUUGACUGGUCCAACUGCCAGUAAGUAUACUCGUGGUAGUAAGCUUUUGCUCAGCUGGGAGCUUUAGCUGGACUUAACUGUAACCAUAAACCAACUAGUCGUUGUUGUGGUCAGGCUCGGAGUUGAAUAGAGAAGAACUGAUGAUGAGCUGGAUUAGUCAGCAUGGUGAUCUCCAUCACCUGUGUACGUGGUGGAUAGUGGAUUAGUUGGCCAUGUUCUUGUCUCCUUUUGGAUUUCGGAUUUUCAUUUGUAUGUUUUUCAAGCUUCUAAACGAUUGUUAACGAUGAAAUUUAGUAAGCCCAAAGUCAUCAUCGGCUUAGAGUCAGUAUCGACUUCAGAGUUAUGGAAUCAGUCGAUGGGAGUCGUCAAAUCGCCAGCAACCGUGCUUUCGAUGGAGUCAGAUGAACUAAAGGGAAUUUAUCCAGAAGAGUCUGAGUUCAAGAAGGAUGCGGCAUGGCAGUUUAUCUAUUAAUUAGGAAUAGUUUGAUUAGUUUCCUUUUAUCUUUAGUAAAGUGUGUUUAAUGUCCGAUAAGGACUUUAUGUUUUCCUUUUAUCUUUAGGAAAGUUUCUUUCUUAUCCGACAAGGACUAGUAUCUCCUCAUGGGUAUAAAUAUAUACACCCGGGGUUAUUGUAAAUCAUCUCACGAUCAAUACAAUUCGGCACAUCGCCACCUUUUACUUUUUCUACUUUAUUUUAUCGUCCGGCGGGAUGCAUCGGUGUUCGAUCUCCGACUAAGGGGUAAGUCCAAUGUUCUGCCGGGCCAGGCAAUUGUAUCGUUUACGUCGGUGUCGUUCAAGGCUGCAUCAGUACAUUCGAUCUCUUGAAUUGCUCUAGUUUGGAUGGUAUAUUUGCCUACCUAUUUAUCAUAUGUCUCUGUUAAUCUAGUCUUAGCAUAUCAAUUUAGCUCUAUCGGCUGCUUCUCGUUUUAGGGUUUCUGCCGGUAUCGGCUAAAUCGUGUUGUUAGAUUAGAUUAGCUUAGGCAUCUACCACCCGAAAACUCAGUCAAUGGCUUGAUUGUCUAGAUAUUAUGUUUCUUUUCAUACUUAGUGCUGCAUCAGUUAAGUUUGAUCUACUAAAUCAUGCUUAGAACCAUAAUCUCUAGCCUGCUUCUUAAUUGCCAAUAAGGGUUUCAUCGGGGUUUCAGCCGAUGAGUUAUCUGGACGUUGCAUCAGCUUAUAAGAAUUGCAUAUACAUAUAAGUUGGAUUUAGCCGAUGACAACAAAUGUUCCAUUAAUCUAUCUAAUCUUGUGGAUUUAUUGGCACCGGACUUCCAGCCGAUGUAUGUUUUAACCUUCGGACCAGUGCUUAUUAUAUCAUAUCAUUGCUAGCCGAUUGCUAAUUGGAUUAUGUUAUUGUUAUAUUAUAUUAUUGUCAACUGAUUGCCUUUAUAUCAUUAUUUACAUCAAGUAUCAGAAUCUAUAUUGGACAUAUAGCCGAUAGCUCAAAACCCUAUCGCUAUCGGCUGGUAUCAGCAUCGGCUGGGAUUGCUCCAUCGGCUGUUUAGCCGAUUAGCUCUUUGAUCUACUGUUUACAUAUCUUGUCAGUUGCAGGGUCAAACUGACUGGCACGCCCGCAUAUCAUCAUAUUUGGACCUGCGCUGGAGUUAAGCAUAUCUCCCAGGCCAAUGUGUGUUUUUCGCAUCAACAACGAUGUGUUUUAUAAAAGAAAUUUAAAUAAUUCUUUCCAGUAAUGUUCUAAAACAAUCUUUUCACUCUGUAGGUGUUAAUUUAUUUGUUUAUACCCUAAAAUUGUUAUAAAAAAAGAUUAUCCAUCAAACCAUCAAUUUCAGCUAUCUCAAACGAGUCAUGUAUAAUAGUGACAACUACAAAUUACUCCCUAUUUGCUGAUUACAAACGGUACUCCAUUAGAUGGAUGUGACAAAUCCUAAUAUUGCAAAUUUGAAUAGGGUAAUACUAGGAUAACACUUAUUACUGAUAAAAGGUAAUUUAUGGUUAUAACUUUUAUAUGUGUUAUUAGUGAUUUAAAAAAUAAUACUGAAAAGUAAACUACGAUUAAAAAACAUCAAAAUCAACUUAAAAAUAAAAUUAAGUCUUAAAAUUUAAAUUUUGACUGUAGCUGAUAAGUUUGAAGAGCGUGUUGUUAACUGAGUAUGACCUCCCUUUUCUUUUAAUCCGAACUGAGUAUGACCUCAUAAGAAAAUAAAGUGACUAGCAAUUCUGUGAUAAUCAGCAGCAUAAGAGGCAAACAAAGCCAUUAAGAAAUGUAGAUCAACCAAGUGCGUUCACAUCCGCGAAAAAAAAAAAGAACAUUUCCAUAUCAAUCCAUACUUCAUCUUGGGGGAUCGAACUGAUUAACACUGAAAAAAUGUCGCAUUCUAAUAAUUAAGCCCAACUACUCGCAUUUUAUGGCCCAUAUAAAGCCCAGUAGCAUAAGUGGUCGGGCCGACCUCUUGCAGGCUUUCGGCCCACUACAAUUACUAAUUAAUGUCUCUGUUUAAAAAUAUAAACACUUCCACCAUUUAAAAUUUGCACUAAAAUAUACCCCUUCGUCCAAAAAAAAAAUCCAAUCCUAACUACGAACUUGGACAUACACGUCCCAAUUCGUAGCUAGAGUUUGUCUUUUUAGACAGAGUAGUAAGCAUUUAAAAAUUACUACUUCCACAACUUUUCGUUAUUAAAGUUUCUUCACAUUUAGCCUAAAUCAUCCUCGCAUUUUUAACCAUGUCUUGUUUAUUACGAGCGUAGUAAUUUUAUAGCAAAAUUUACUACAAGACACUUAAAAAAUGUGUAAUUAGUUCUGAGAUACAAAAAAACGUGAAUUUGCCCGAGGACACUUCGAAAGUGUGGUAAUUUGCUACAGGACACUGCACGCAUUAAAAUAUAAUAUCCACCCAAUUGAUGAGAGAGAAACCACGUAAAAUUAUAGUUUUGCCCUUUAUCUUCUUAUCUCUUCUCCCCGUCUUUUACCGACGCUCCUCGUGUGUGCAAAUUGCUUAGAUUAAUGUACGGUAAGGAAAAUUACACCUAAGUACAGCAUUGCUGCCGCUGAUUUCUUGCCUAAUCAACAGAUUAUGGUAUUGAUUAACUAAUUACUACUCGCUAGUUUUACAAUCUUCCAAAAAUUUCAGACAGAGUAGUUGAAGAUGACAGCGAAGGAGCAACUCGACGAAUGCGUGCCUGACACCGACGAUGCCAGUGUUGCUGUGCGGGUAACGAUGGCGGCGGCAGCGGCGGUUUGGCGGCGUCAUCACCACCGGACGACGUGGGGCGCCGGAUCUCCUUCAACAGCGCGACGAUCUUUCGUUGGCAACUUUUUGUGACAAGUUGACAAACACGAUCGCAGCAGAGGACGGGGAAGAGGACGGGGGCGGCAGCGGUGGCUGGCGCACGAAGGGAAGAGGAGGCGCCGGCGACACGCGCGGAAGAAGGGGCUACGGCUGGAUCCGGCGAGGGCGACGGCUUGGCGGCGACGAGGAGUGGAGGCGGUGCUCCAUAGUUCGUCGCUCGCGACCUUCUCCCUGUGAGUGCAGCCGUGGAGGAGAGGAGAAGAAAGAGGAGAGAAGAGAAAACUGACGGGUGGAUCCCACAUGUAAUAGGGUCAAAUGAGUAAGGAUAGAAGGGACAUUUUAUGAUUUAGUUAGCAUCGUUAGAUGCCCUUAACAGAAUAGGGUCAAACCAUAUCUUCAAUUUUAAAAAGAAGGAUCAAAUAAGCAAAGUUGAUAAAAGGGAUCAAAUUGGUAGUUAGCUUUCAAAAGAGGGCCAAAUGCGCAAUUGCCCCAAAGUAAAAAUACUGAGGGCGUGUUUGCGGAAGACGGAUGAGAACAUAUCACCCAAGCACGAAAAACGAAAUAGUCCAUUAACACAUGAUUAAUUAAAUAUUAGCUAAAUUUUUUUUAAAAAAUAGAUUAAUAUAAUUUUUUUAAGUAACUUUAGUAUAGAAAGUUUUUUUAAAAAAGUGCGCGCGUGGAAUACGACGGACAAUGGUCGGGAACCCUUGGGUCCGAGUCCGAACUCCGAAGUCCGAACACACCGUAAGGGCGGAGUGGUCGAGUAUCGCGUAAAAGUAAAAGAAAUCUCCCGUCUCGUUCUCGUUCUCGUUCUCCUCCGCUCCUUGCGCCGCCGCCGAGACGAGGGGAGGGCCGGGCGGCGAUCUCCAUCUGGCGAGCAGAGCAGCGGAGGGGAGGGGAUCCUGGUGCGUCCUCUUUCUGAUUCAUCUCUCUCUCUCUCCCACCCCACCGGGACUGGAAUUUGCUUGCGUUCGUGAACCCUACUAGCUUCUCUUCUAGAUCUUCUCCUCCUCCUUACCCUAAUUUGAUAGCCUUAAACCUCUCUUAAUUCAAGUAAUAACAGUUUGUUUGUUCACCCAAAAGUUUGGGGGUUCAACUGAACCCCCAUGUUCCAAGUUGGAUCCGCCCCUGGUUCGGGCUUUUCUCGGUGAUAAUCUGGAUGGUAAUGUUGGCUCGCGUCCGUUGGUCGAAAUCUCCUGUGAUAUUUUUUUUUGGAUCGUGAUAUCAUGCAUUAAGCACCUGUACAUGUACACCUCGAUUUGAGUAGAACAAGGUCUGUAUUGUGCCUUGAAAUGGUCGGGAAGAGUGAUUUCCUAGCCUUGCUCCUCGGAAACAAACUAUUUAUGACAUUUGAGGGCUUUUCCUAUGAGGAAGGAGAAGUGCUUGUUCUACUCCUACCUCAUUUGUUUGUUUGCUUGCUUGUCUGUUUGUUUGAGUGAACUAGGUUCUGGAUUGGAGCUUUUUUGCUUUGCUUUGGAGCCUGCGAAAUGUUUCUAAAACGCUGACUGCAGAGGAUCUCAAUCCAGCGGUUGGGGGGGGGGGAUUGAGAGUUAUGUCGUGAUUUGAGAUUCUCAUGGCGUACAAUGGAGGUGUUUGUUGAGAGAAAAUUACCAUUCUACCAUUAUCGAAACGAAGAUUCGCUAAAAUACCACUCCGCAUUUGGGAUUCGCCAUAAUGCCGCUCUCAAGUGUGGGGCUUCGCCUAAAUGCCAUUAACUUCCAUUUUUUAGAACUAAAAAUUGUUUCGCCCCUUCUCUCCUAUGUUUAAUGACCAAAAUACCCCCGAUUUAAUCCAUCAAAAUUCCCCAUUCUUCUUUCCUACUCGAGCAAGAGCAGUGGCCACCUGGGAGUUAACUUCCAUUUUUGAGAACUAAAAACUGUUGAGUCCCUUCUCUCCUAUGUUUAAUGACCAAAAUACCUCCGAUUGAAUCCAUCCAAAUUCCCCAUUCUUCUCUCCUACUCGAGUAGGAGCAGCAGCCUGGGAGCUAGAGUUGGCCCCGUGCCACCUUGCCGUUGCCACCCCUCUUCUCGCGGGCGCCCCCGACCCCCCAUCCCUACGCGCCGCCGCCGCUCCUCCUCUUCUCACUCUGCCGCCGUGCCACCGCUCCUCUUCUCGUGCCACCCUGUUGCUAGCCCACCUCUCCACUGCCGCGGUCCCUCCCCUCUUGUCGCUUGUCAACUGUUCCCACGCGCUCUUCCUAGAUGUGUGAGCUCCCACUUAAUUGGAUUCAAUCAGGGGUAUUUUGGACAGUAAACAUAGGAGGGGAAAGGACAAAACAAUUUUUAAUUCUCAAAAAUGGAAGUUAAUGGCAUUUCGGUGAAGCCCCACACUUGAGUGGCAUUGUGGUGAAUCCCAAAUGUGGAGUGGUAUUUUAGCGAAUCACCGUUUUGAUGAUGGUAGAAUGGCAAUUUUCUAGUUUGUUGAUGGCACUUUGGGAAGUGGGCGUUUGCAGAUGGUGCAUAUAAAGAAGAGUAUAUUUCACAAAACUCUUUUAGUUUAUUAUGCCAAACCAUGGUGAUUUAUGAUUAAUGACAUCUAUAUACUCUAAACUAUUCAACCCUGCGAAUUUCAAUUAAUACUAAUUUUCUCGUCAUGUUGAGCCACAUUAUCCUGAACCAUUAUGGUUAUUGGAUAGUUGUUCUCUGUCUGAUAUUUGCAACCAGAUCAGACCAGCUGCUCCAUUCACAUAUCGAGCUCUUAUGUGGUACUUGCCUUAUGUGCUUGUUAUGCUGUUUCAGUAUUGUUCGCUAUUAUAUUAUAGAACAUCCUAAAUAACAUUAUGUUCUAAACUUAAGAGUUGUGCAUUAAGCUGACCAUUAUUCUUGACAUUUGCACAGUUUCAAUGUUUUGCAGACUUAGGGGCUAUUCAAGCAUCAUUUGGUUUCCUUCCCAACCAAAACCUGUUCUUUCAUGGACCUAAUCUGUUGUUUUCUCUUAUUCUAACUUGAUACCCCAAACCACAGCCAACAUCUCCUCUGAUUUAAUCAAUCUGCUGUCUUUGUAGCAAUGUAUUACCGCAGGCAAAGGAAGGCUUCUUCUGAGGCCAAUGCCAAUGUGUUUAUGCCUGGGGGUCCAAAUGAUAUCUCAUUUCCUGCAUCAAAUAGGGAUCAUGAUUGGGGAUAUGGCGGUGUUGGCAAAGAAUGGGAAGCUAGUUAUGCUCGCAAACUCCAGUUGAUGAAUUUUCUUUCUUCACUGCAUCAACGCACUGCAAAUCCUUUGGUAACCACUAGAAUGGAUGCUAACAUGGACACUCCUUUGGAGCAAAAACAGAAGGACAGCUCAGCAAUAAUAGUUCUUGAUUCCGAUGAUGAGGACGGAUAUACGGAAGGAUGUGAACAGCUCACAUCUGAGAACAAUAAACAACAGGCACCAUCUGGACUCACUAGUCCUUACACGACAUGGAUUGUAUCCAGUGCGAAAGACCAAGUAAAUGGAACCUUGCAUGUUGAUGGAGUCCAAAGCACUCAAAUUGUUCCAUAUUAUGGUCAAAAUGCACCGUUAAUAAAUCAGUUCCCUUUGCAAACCAGCUGGCAACCAUCUAUCCAAUAUGAAAGGGUUAUAUUGCAGAAAAGACCUGAGGAGCAACGCGUUCAAGAUCUGGUGGUAUGUAUCUUUCACUUGAAAUUUUUCAAUGGACUAUCCACUUCUACAUAUUGGUACUUUUACUCCUUUACAUACCUGCACUGACAAACCAAUUUUUUGCGUCAUGUCUUGUGAUUGUAUUUUGAUAAAUCUGAAGAGCAUUAUGAUAUUUCUUGUCUGGAAUGUUAGAAUGGAAAUGUUUGAUGUUUGCUGAAUCUAUACUCUUUUGAAGCUUAAAUAUCUCAUAUUUGAACUUUAACUCUUGUUGCUCACUGUAGGCAGCAAGCCAUGCAGAGAAGAUAGCAGAAACACAAGUUCUCCUUACUCUUCCUACUCUUCCUAAUGAGAGAAAACGAAGGAAAACAGAACCCACCACCCUGGUAGAUGUUGAUGGUGGAACUAACCUAGGAAAAAGAAAAAGGAAAAAUCAUCAAAAUCAAGCAGCAGUUGAUUCAAACUUGGAUUUGCAACAAAAUGAUGUUCCUUCACAAAGCUACAGGACUAUGAUAGAAGAGGAGAAACCUGUAAAAGAAAGUGAUGGUCUCGAGGAUCUUUGGAAAGAUUUUUCAUUGGCUGCUGAAUGUACAAAGGUACAAGUUGUAAUCACAGAUGUUUUUUUUUUACUUUUAUUCUGCAGCAUUAUAAAAUUGUUGGUUCUUUUUCCAUCUGACUGCUAAUUGUACUCGUAAAUACAUGCUAUAAUCUUUAUUUUUUGUUUCAAGAUUGAAUACCGCUGUGCACAAAGUAAGUUUCAUGGCAAAGUGUAUUUUAUAAGAUAAGGUAGAGUUUGAAAAGGCGUUCAUUUGUCAAAUCAUUUAAAUAUGUGUAUUAUGACAAAGUUUUGAAGCAUUUCAAUUGAUUAUUUCUAUCUGAUGUGUGUCUUUUUCCAAUAAUGCUCAAGUAAUAUUCUUUGUCCAGCUUGAUACAAAUGAAGACAUGUCCAAUGAAAAAGAUGUGGAUGAUGAAAAUGAGAUGGAUGACGACUGCAAUCAUGACAUUCGAAUUCAUGAAGAUCUAGGCCACGUAUGCCGUAUUUGUGGCAUGAUUGUUAGAAAGGCUGAAACAAUAAUUGAUUAUCAGUGGAAAAAGGUGCGUACCAUGUUUAGGACAUGUGAUACUUCAAAGUUCUCAAAACUAUGAUGUCUAUGAUUCUAGUUUUACUUUGAGGAAAUUAUAAGCAGACAACCAACUUUGGGAAUUGUUUUUUCAUAAAGAAACUGCAAGUUAAUUAUUUACAUGAAACCCCUCAUGUCUCAUACAGCGUCAACUUUUAAAGCCCCAAGCGUUAGAUCUGGUUAUACUUGACACUACACACCAGCUGUAUCCACUUUGCUGUGUUCAUGUCAAAAAUCAUUUUCCUCACUUCCUACACAACUGCUAUUAAUAUUAAGGCACAUAGCACCUUGAAGGUCUUUAGGCAGUGGAAGGGCAUCACGAUCAAGAGAAAUUUGUGGAUUCAUGCUGAAUGAAAUAAAAAUUACUGACAUAUAGUUCUCACACAUACCGUUUUUGUAAUGCUUGUUAGAUUUACUGUGAAUCUCUAGGGAUUCUGGUUUCUUUUAUAGAAAAACAUGCUAUGGGGGACCUUUUCUUUACUGAAAUACUUCCUAAAAUGGGAGAGUGUUUUCAUUACCAACUCUUUUGAUAUUGAUACCACUUUGGAGUAUGUAGUAAUAGUCGUUUUGGAAAUCAUAUGGAUUUCUUUAGUGGCUUGUACAUGAGCUAAGCUGGGAGCCUGGGCAGUAUUCAGAGCAUGAGUCAUGUAGUAAAGAUGGAAUGCUUGCAUCAGUUUUCUAAAGUUUGUUGGAUUUUCAUACGUGGAUAAGAAAAUUUAACUUCAUGCUUACAUUAUAUCAGGCUUCAAGGACAAGAACAAAUUACUAUGAAUCACGUUCAAAGGAUGCUGAUGAGAUUGAUACUGGUGCUGUUAAAGUUUCCGAAGAUUUCAUUGUCUCUGAUAUUGCCAUUCAUCCAAGACAUGCGAAGCAAAUGAGACCACAUCAGUUGGAAGGAUUCAGCUUCCUGGUCAAGAAUCUAGUGGGAGACAAACCUGGAGGUUGCAUUCUAGCUCAUGCUCCUGGUUCAGGGAAGACAUUUAUGCUCAUAAGUUUCAUUCAAAGCUUCUUAGCAAAGUAUCCUUCUGCAAGGCCCCUUGUAGUGCUUCCGAAAGGGAUUUUAGGUACUUGGAAGAGGGAGUUUCAGCGGUGGCAAGUGGAGGACAUACCACUAUAUGAUUUCUAUUCUGUUAAGGCUGACAAAAGAGUAGAGCAACUGGAAGUCCUCAAAUCUUGGGAAGCCCAGAUGAGCAUACUAUUUCUUGGAUACAAGCAGUUCUCACGAAUCAUCUGUGGUGAUGGAGAUGGAAACAUUGCAGCUGCGUGUCGGGACAGGCUGCUUAUGGUACCCAACCUACUUAUACUAGACGAGGGUCAUACACCAAGAAAUCGGGAGACAGAUGUACUGGCAUCACUAAAAAGAGUCCAAACACCACGCAAAGUGGUCCUGUCUGGUACACUUUUCCAGAACCACGUUUCGGAAGUGUUUAACAUCUUGGACCUUGUGCGCCCUAAGUUUCUCAAGAUGGAAUCAUCCCGUCCUAUUGCUAGACGUAUAAUGAGUCAGGUAGCAAUAUCAGGUAUCAGGAGUUUAAAAGGGGUUCAUGACAGUGCAUUCACUGAGUCAGUGGAAGACACCCUGCUGAACGAUGACAACUUCACUAGAAAAGCCCAUGUUAUUAGAAGUCUUAGAGAAUUAACAAAAGAUGUGCUUCACUAUUACAAGGGUGAUAUCUUAGAUGAACUACCUGGCCUAGUAGAUUUUAGUGUGUUUUUGAAACUCAGUACCAAGCAGAAAGAAAUUGUUCACAAGAUAGAAGCCUAUGAGAAGUUCAAAAGAAGUGCAGUGGGGACUGCAUUGUACAUUCAUCCCUGCCUGUCAGAAAUUUCAGAGGGUGAUGCUGCAGAUAGGGCGAGCAACUUGACAGAUGCCACUGUUGACAGCUUGAUUGAGUCUAUCAUCAUUAAAGAUGGGGUGAAAGCCAAGUUUUUCUUUAACAUUCUGUCUCUUGCUAACUCUGCAGGAGAGAAGUUGCUUGCCUUCAGUCAAUAUAUACUUCCCAUGAAAUUUUUGGAAAGGUUGUUGGUUAAGAGGCUGGGCUGGCAUGUAGGGAAGGAGAUUUUCAUGAUAUCUGGUGAUACUAGUGCAGACGACAGAGAAGUGGCGAUGGAUCAGUUUAACAACUCUGCCGAUGCAAAAGUUUUGUUUGGUUCCAUCAAGGCCUGUGGAGAGGGAAUCUCCCUUGUUGGUGCAUCUCGAGUCAUCAUUCUAGAUGUUCAUUUGAACCCAUCUGUCACCCGUCAAGCAAUUGGACGUGCAUUCAGGCCCGGACAGCAGAAGAAAGUGUUUGUGUACAGGCUUGUUGCUGCUGAUUCUCCAGAGGUGAAGUUCCAUGAAACUGCAUUCAAGAAAGAAGUUAUCCCAAAGCUAUGGUUUGAAUGGAGUGAGCUCUGCACUACUGAAGACUUCAAACUGAAUCAAGUUGAUAUUGAUGACUCUGAAGAUGAACUUUUGGAGGCUAAUGCUAUCCGCCAGGAUAUCAAGGCUUUGUAUAGAAGGUCAGCUAUCUCUUUCUCCCGGUGCGCAUGUGCAAGUUAAACCCUGGAGGUGCUAUCUCUGUCUUAUCCAAAAUUGUCUUGUAGGUAACAAGUUAUAUGUGGCUGCUGUACACCAUGUACAUAAUGCAAUGCUGAUCUUUCUGGCUGAUCAUCGCUGUGAAGUAAGGGGAUUUCUCGUGAAUCAUUCUUCACAUUACAAAAUCUUUGCCCCUUAUUCUGUUCUGAUUGUAUGACCAUCAGCUUUUUCGUUAACCUUCAUCAUUUUUCUUCCUACAGGAUGUUACAGUAGCCCCUUCUAAUGCCGGAGUUCCGUUCAUGCUAGGAUUUAUCGUUAACCUCGGUCGUUUCCCUACCUAUUUGAACCACUGUCCGCUUUGUUAACAUGUGCCAGCUUGGCGCAGCGGUUCGCCAGCUGAUCCUAGUCUUAUUUUUCUUACUGAAGAUCUCCAGGACUAAUAACUAUGGUUUCUGCCGUUCCCGCUUGCGGCAACAACUGAAAUAAUGCCACUGUUUCCUUACCUGUCUUUUGUGCACUUCAAUUGGUCUUCAAAUUUGCCCGUUUUGCUAGGGUAAAGAUAGUUUAUUUCUGCGCAUAACGGAAUGCAGGUUAUCCAUCGUGCAUUUGUGCAUCUCUUUUAUCUCCUUUGUUGCUGUACCUGGUUUUUGUGUCGACCAUUCUAGUUUCAAUUCUGGCUCCCAUGAAAGAUGCUUUAAGACUCGCAAUGCCAGGAUGCAUACUUUUUUUUUUAAUGCAUACUCGAUCGUUGGCUCGUUGCACUCAUCGACUCCAGAUCAGCUGCCGCGGGCAGCUGCCUGUUUGGUUCAUAUACUAAUAUUGUCUAGGAUUGCCAUAGUUUUCUUGCCAAGCUUGCCUAAGGUUAGGCGAAUAAAUUUGGCACCACACUUUGACUAACAAUGUAUAACAUUGCCACACUUUUCUGAGACAAUGAUAUGUGGGACCAAAGUGCUAGAAAAAGAAUCUUGCCAUAUGUUACCACACUUUACCUGGCGGUUGUGUUCACCUGGUGGUCCUGGUGCAUCCGAGAGUGACGACAAGGACAGUGGAAAGACAACACAAUGACGUUUGGGAGCCAACGAAGAGGAGCUGUUUGUACUUUUGCAGUUUUUCAGCUUAGUAUGCUUUAUCACCUGAUUGUUACUACGAUUUAUUUGCUUCAUGUUUUAAGAAGAAUAAUUUCUCAUGAAACUUUCUUUUACUUUAUUGCCUAGACCACUUGUUUUAAACUAACUACUAUUUAUUAUGUUUAGAUAAUAUGUAAUAUUUAAUGUAUUCAUAUUAUUAAAACACUAGCCUAGAGAGAGUAGGAAGAGCAGGUCAGCAGGGGCUACUGGAGGGGGAAUUUAACUAUUUGCCACUUUUAGAUUGGACAAUUAUCCAAAUGCCCCUUUUAGGUUUGCACAUAAUUUUUUGCCACUUUUACGAGAUGCCUUCUUAACUAUUUGCCACUUUUGCCCACGUGGCAUGCCAACAUGGCAACGGAGGGUAGAAACCGGUGUGGGACCCACUAGUCAGCCUAUCCUCUCUCUCCUUCCUCUCUCCCUUCGGCCCGAUGUGGCAGCGGACGAGGCAGAGCGGCGGCGCCGGCGGAGGACGAAGCAGAGCGGCGGCGGACAGGCUCCUCGCGGAGGCAAGCGGCGGCGGCGGCGGCGGAAGAGGAGGUGUAGCGGCGGUGGACGGGCUCCUCGCGGAAACGGAGAAGGCGGAACGGCGACGUCGGUGGAGGAGGAGUAGUAGCAGCGGCACUGGUGGAGGAGAAGGCAUAGCGGCGGCUGACGGGUUCCUCGCGACGGCCUAGGAGGCGUAGCGGCGGCGCCGACGGAGGAGCGCCGCCGGAGGAGGAGGCGUGGCGGCGGCGCCAACGGAGGAGGAGGCGUGGCGGCGGUUAAAUUUCCCCCACCACGGUGCUCGCCGACCACGCCCUCCACGACAUCCUCUGCCGCCUCCCUCCGCCCGACCUCAUCUGCGCCGCCCUCGUCUGCAACCGCAGGCGCUGCGCGCUGCUGCCUCCUCCUCCGCUCGCCCCCACUGCCCGUCCACGCCGCCGUCACACGCUCCCACCUCGUUGCCGUCUUCGCUCCCACGACGACCGGCGCAUCUCGCCGGGGGCUCAUCCUAGCCGGCGACUGCGAGGAGCCCGUCCGCCGCCGCUCUGCUUCGUCCUCCGCCGGCGUCGUCGUUCUGCCUCGUCCUUCGCCACAUCGGACCGGAGGGAGAGAAGAAGGAGAGAGAGGAGAGGCUGACAAGUGGGACCCACACCGGCUUCUACACUCCGUUGCCAUGUUGGCAUGCCACGUGGGCAAAAGUGGCAAAUAGUUAAGAAGGCAUCUCGUAAAAGUGGCAAAAAAUUAUGUGCAAACCUAAAAGGGGCAUUUGGAUAAUUGCCCAAUCUAAAAGUGGCAAAUAGUUAAAUUCCCCCUACUGGAGUGCUUGGGGAAAGGAGUUGGGCCGCCGCGGGGUUGACGCUGACAUAUGUCUGUUUCAAAAGGAGUAAAUUACGUUUGAGGUAGUUGAACUUAAGAGAUACUAGUAGGUGUAUCUUAGCUGGAUUUUUUACCUUUUUGUCCUUUUAGAAAACUUAUUCUAUAAAUAGGCCCCUAAAAACGUAUUUUAGAAAUACUCUCCGUACCAAAAUAUAAGAACCUAUGACCGGAUGUGAUAUUUUCUAAUACAACGAAUCUGGUCCGCCUAUCUAGAUUCGUUACUAUGAAAUGCCCCAUCCGGUUCUAAGUUCUUAUAUUUUGGGAUGAAGGGAGUAAUCAUUUUCACGGGCGCUAACGUCAUUGGUACCGUGAUCCAACAUGGUAGUGCUAACGAUGUUGUCGCCAUUCACCCCCUCCUAGCGCGGGACUAAGUCACUAAUGUGGAGGGUAGUGCCAAUAUCAUUAGCAUCGAGAAUCUAUUUGUAAUAAAAAAAAUUACAAAUAUAUCUUUGACGCUAGUGCUAUUGCUGUCAAGAACCUAUUUGUAGAUAUAUUUUAUUCAAAAUAAGUCAUUUCUAUUACAAAUAAAUGAUGACGCUCUCUCGUCACCUAAUCUUUUGGUGAGGGGGGAUAACUCUCGCGUUGAUCGAGUGCGACAUUUAUGACGUGGCUACCAACUAGAAUAAGUCCAAGACGUCAUGCAAUCGCACAAAUGAUGUGAGAACACUGCAAGAACAAGAUAAGAUGCAAUCUAAAUAUUGCGAAUAAGUAAUUAAGCACGAAUAAAUAGUUACGAUUGAAGUGGUAGAUCUAAUCGACUCGGUAAAUCAACACACCAACUAUUGGGGGCUCUAAAUUUGUAGUCGUCGACUAAUCGAGCGAGGACAAGAGACAAGGUGAAUGGCAUUUGGAAAAAUUCAACUAAACAAAACCCAAUUGUUUUAGAGGGUGUACAUAGAUAUAUAUAGAGGAAAAUAGAUUUAGGGUUAAGUGCUAAUUUGUAGAGGUGGAGGGAGAUACUUCCGUGAUUGGCCUAGUCUGUUACAAGGCUCAAGUUCGGUUUCAGUAACAACACUGUCUUUUUUUAACGAUUCCCGUUGACUCGAGAUGAAUUUGGACAUGAGACCGGAUGCGUUUGAAAGGUGAUUAGAUAAGCUUUCCAUCAAGUCCAAGAUCACUCAAAUCGGAGUUGGCAUGAAGGCGCUAGGUCCGUUUGAAGUCAGUACUAUCUUCGAAGGCCGAACUGGAUUUCAAAACUCAUUGGAUUUAAAUAUCUUGUACAUCUUCCAUUCAUCCGAUGCAUUAUUUGGCAAUGUUUUAUAUUUCUCAUUCUUGGUUGUAUCCAUGUACUUGAUGGUCACGUCAAUAGGUCUGCAGCAGCAUCAAUGACUUAGCUUCCACCGAGGGGUGAGUGGGACGCCAGCCGUCAUGUUGGACCACAACGCUAAUAAUGUGACGCCGAUUUUUAAGUAAGUAUUUUUAGGGGUUUAUUUAUAAAAUAAGUUUUUCAAAUGAAUCAAAAGCUGAAAAUUCCGAUGUAUUUUAGUGCACGAAAAUGUAAAACGGCUAUUCUAAUAUAUAAAUUUAUGUAGUACAUAGUAAAAUAAAGUACCACCUCUGUUUCUUUUAAUUAUUGUUUUCAACGUCAACACAAUCUCUAACGUACAUGCCUCCUGAUUAAUUAUAUGUUUAUAAAAAUUAUUAAAAAUAAAACUAUUUUUCAUGCAAAUCUAUUAAUAUCGUUAUCACAUAUUAAAUUUGUGAUGUUUUAAUUUAUUAAUGAUUUAAGAUAUUGAUGUUUGACAACAUCAACAGAACGAAAGGAGUGCUUGGUUUACUAUCACAUACUACUAAAUCUUACCACGGUUACGUUAUACUCCCUCCAUUCUAAAAUAUAAGCAUUUUUAGCAUAGUGACAAGUCAAGCAUUUUCAAUUUUGACUAUUAAUAGAAAAAAAUAAAAAAGAUCAAUCAUGUAAAAUUGAUGUUACUAGAUUUAUCAUUAAACAAACUAUGAUAAUAUGUAACUAUUUUUAUUUAAAACUUUUGUAGAUAUUGUUGGUCAAAGUAGCAUCUCGGAGACCAUGUUAGAGUCCAAAAAUGCUUAUAUUUUGGACUGGAGGGAGUAUCAUAGUUUUUCUAGCUCUAGGUCCACAUGCCAUGUACAUAUUUUUUUUAAACAAACCAAGAAAUACAUACAGUUGACAAAUACCCAAAUUCAUGAAAUGGCAUUAAUGAGUGUGAGUUUCAUAACUACCAUCGUACAAGUGAUUUUUGUCUUAGAAAUACCACUGUCGUAAGGGUUUCGUUCAUUCCACGUCAUUAAAUAUAUUAUUCAUCCAUAGCACUUAACAGAAGACUACUAACGGAAUCAUAACGGCGAUGAUAUUUCUAGAAUAAAGUCACUGUAUGAUGGUAUAUGUUGAUUGAAUGGCCUAACAUAUGGCCGUGGACUACGAGCUCUCCGCAUGCUUUAGCCUUUAGGAAGUGGUUUGGAUACUAGCUAUAUAUAAGAGACAUUUUAUUCGACAUGUUUACUUCAAGCAGAAAUGCACACAAGUCUAAAUAGGAUGAUCAUGUAGUACACACAAGUGCACAUAUAUAUAGUACGCUUUUUAAAUUAAACUUCUUUUUAUUAAAGUAAUUCGCGUGCAAAGCGAUCUGCAGAAGGUACGGCGUCCAAGCGUGCAAGGACUAGACAUUGGAGCCAACGGCAUUUAUAUGGAGUAGAUAAACAAAAUUGAAUUUGAUCUACGCACGUAUGAAAAAAACACAAUAUAAUAGAAUAAUUAAUUAAUGAUUGAGAUCAGCAAACACCAUCAAGACAUGAUGAAAACGAAAUGCAUCUGUCCAUGAUAGGGUAUACUAUAAUUUGGUUUGUGAUUUUAGGCGUGGUUAUACUUGCUGCUGCCACAUCAACAGUAAGCAUAACAAAUACUUCCUCCAUCCUAAAAAAGACCUUAACAUAGAAUUGAGAUGUGACAUAAUCUAGUACGGCUACUGCUUUCACUACCGGUUCCUCAUAAGCUCAUUAUUGAGUUGCGAAGUGUUGUUGCCAUCGCCUGCGCCCGAGAGCUCAGAGCUAAGGGCUGCCUUAUCUGGCUUUGCAACACCUCUCCUCUAUUGCCUACACCAGCAUCUCUUGUGCCAUCGUUGCUGUCAUUGUGUCAUUCGUGUGGCUAUUGCUCGUGCUUAGAUUGGCCCAUUUUGGUAGCGCCAAACUCGGGGAGGCUAGAUCCGGCAGCUCCCUUAGGAUGGCCAAAUCUUCGAAGGCUCUAGGAGAGUGAAGCAGCAGCAUGGCAACUAAGAGAGAGAGAGAAGGGGGAGCACACUGGGAUUUAGGCUUAGUAAUGUGGGCGAUCAAUCGAUGCCAAGUCAUCUGAUCGAUUGGUUUAAUGCCUCAUUUAGUCAUUUAGCUGUAUUUGUUAUUCCGUAUUAGUUUAUGAUAAAAGUCAUUGCAGUUUUUUAUUUUACCAUGAACCAGUAGUAAUAUUAUGUAAAAUUCAAUGGCAAUACUAGCACUGCUGGUGUCGAUGGGUUAUACCCUGAUCAUAGUAUCCAUAUCUAUAUGGUUUAUUUGGAUGACGUAAGCAUUGGCUGAUAUAAGGAUACAAACGAAUCUGUAAAGAGAGCAAGAAGACAGGGACCCCUUUAUGGCGGGAAAUAGCCCUACUCCUAUUAGUCGGAGCCAUUAGAUAUUAAUAUCUUACGAGUAUAAGGGGUGAAUAUAAUCUAGCCUGCCAAUAUAUCGGCAUAAAGCUUGGGCAUGGUGGUUGAUGGCUAACUGUUGUCGGCUUCCUCGAAUAGUAACUAGAUAAGAUUGGAGGUGACUUGUAUUGAUUUGUACCUCUCUCUUUUAACUUGUUGGUUGUUACCUUUCCUUGGAAAGUUUUAUAUUUAUACCAUCGGAUAUUCCCUUGUCCAAGUAAAAUUAGAGAAGCAAAUAUGGAUGGUUGGGUUCAAAUAUAUAUAAUUUUAUUUUUUUUUCUUAAAUUUUGUUCUUAUCUACUCAGUAGUACAUAUGAUGCUUUUUUCCAAGACUUGACAUAUGAUGGGCAUUCCGAGCUAAGUACAUAUGCAUAUGGUAUCUUAUAUUUGGAACACUAACAGCUGAUUUUUAUCAUUACUGGUUCUAGGUCAACCAUAAGUAAAUGAAAGGGGAUGGCGGGUGGGUGGUUUGAUAGGAGCGAUAGUAAGAAUUUGUUGAUCUUAUGUCCAUCAUUAAGAAUUAAAGGAAUGCUUUGUUUAGUGCCUAAAUGAAUCCUGUCUAACUUUGGUAAUGCUAAGAUUUUGUCAUUGUUAAUAUUUUUUAAAAAAAACACAGACGCUCAUAACACGCGCAUACACUCAUAUCCUAUCGCUAUGAGAACCUUCAAAAGGCUAGACCAGCAUAUCUUAAGAAUGAUGAAGUCACCACAAGUGUCUCGCUGAUGACGGGUAUGUUAUGUACCGUUGAAAGAAUAAUUAGCCGUAGAUACAAGCAUGCAUCUUUAAGUUUAGGACUUAAAACUAGGUGAGCUGAUUCCAUCAUAAGGAACCUAAUUAGUUGAGGUAUGCUCACUUCGCUGUCAUUGUCAAUAUUUGGAAAUGUAGAGCUCCUGUGAAGUAUGUUUGGUUUGUUGUCUUUAUCAUGUUCUUCAACAAACUAAAUGUACUCUAGCCAUUGUUAUCCUACUUUUUUUUUAUUUUGAAAGCUUCCACUCUUAAAAACUUUAUUAAAAUUUAGUAAGACUUCAAACCAAGCAUGCCCCAAUACUAUCAAAGUUUGGUAAUAUGAAAGGUACCAAAAUUUUAUUAUCAGUUUCAAUAUGAUUGAUUUAGGCAACAAACCAAAUAUGACUCAAAUUUUGAUAGUGAGAGGAUACUAAGGCUUUUGUUUGGAUUGUUGUGUAAUAUUGGCCACCAAAAUUUAGUACUCCUAGCUAGUAGGGUUUGUCUUGGCAACAAAACAAAUCAACACACACUACACACCCAUACUUUCAUCAUUUAUAUACGACUGUGACACCUGAGGAAAGUUUGUGAAUUAUUGCAUGUCAGAUUUGUAGCGAUGCAUCGGUGACCACUGUGACCGGUGAGAUUGAUGGAACCAGAGAGUAUAUAAUACACUACACUAGCUAGCACCAUCCCCUUCAAAAUCGUGAGAAGUGUAGUGAACCGCAAGACGCCAUCAAAAGUGACCCAACUCAAGUGGGCAACAGCUAGAUUGUGGAGCCAAACAUGCCACACAUUGCACUUGCAAAACACACACCUCUGUAUCAAAGCGGUCAUCAUCUGCCCCAUCACCAAUGCUAACUAUUAUCUCCAUAUAAAAAAAAAGUUUCAGGGUCGAACACAGAUAUUAAGAAAGUUGAUGAAAUUAAAUAGAUAAGGUUAUAAUUGGUUGAGAAAAAAAAGAUAGACAAUGAAUUUAAAUGGUGGAAAGUUGUGAUUCUUUGAGAAAAAACUAUAUGUUUGUUAUAUUUUUAGUAUAAAUUCUGAAGGAUAAAAAUUACUAUAUGACCUGAACGGCCACGUCCUCGUCGUCCUGAACUAAUAAAACCGAAAAGCCAAGACACAGAUUGAUCACGACACGCUGAUGUGCCGCGAUUAGCGAGUGGCUGUCACAUAUCCGGAGAUGAGAUAAUCAACACGGUGGAUUGAUUAGCUGAUUACAACUGUACGGUCCACCCGGCCGGCGAUCGUGCCGUCGGUAGUGACCCGAAUUAAACGGACGGCGAUGCAGCACCGGCGCGCGCGUGCUCUAAUUUUUUUUGCACUGCCGGUCAACGGUCAGCGCUUUGCCGAUUGAUUAAUUGACUGGUCCAACUGCCAGUAAGUAUACUCGUGGUAGUAAGCUUUUGCUCAGCUGGGAGCUUUAGCUGGACUUAACUGUAACCAUAAACCAACUAGUCGUUGUUGUGGUCAGGCUCGGAGUUGAAUAGAGAAGAACUGAUGAUGAGCUGGAUUAGUCAGCAAGGUGAUCUCCAUCACCUGUGUACGUGCUGGAUAGUGGAUUAGUUGGCCAUGUUCUUGUCUCCUUUUGGAUUUCGGAUUUUCAUUUGUAUAUUUUUCAAGCUUCUAAACGAUGUGUUGUAAGAAAAAUUUAAAUAAUUCUUUUUAGUAUUUUUUUUAAAACAAUCUUUUCACUCUAUAGGUGUUAAUUUAUUCGUUUAUACCCUAAAACUGUUAUCAAAAAUAAGAUUAUCCAUCAAACCAUCAAUUUCAGCUAUCUCAAACGGGUCUCAAACGGGUCAUGUAUCAUAGUGAUAACUAGAAGUCACGUUGUUUCCCCAUUUGCUGAUUAUAAGCCAUACUCCAUUCAUCCCAAAAAAUAAGAGAUUUUGGAUGGAUGUGACAAAUUCUAAUAGUAUAAAUUUGAACAUUUCAUAUCUAAAUUUGUAGUACUAGGAUAACACUUACUAGUGAUAAAAAGUAAUUUAUGGUUAUAACUUUUAUAUAUGUAUUAUUAGUGAUGUAAAAAAUAAUACUGAAGAGUAACCUACGAUAAAAAAAUCAAAAUCAACUUAAAAAUAAAAUUAAGUCUUAAAAUUUAAAAUUUGCCAGUAGCUGAUAAGUUGAAGAGCGAGUUGUUAAUUGAGUAUAACCUCCUUUUUUUUUAAUCCGAACUGAGUAUGACCUUAUAAGAAAACAAAGUGACUAGCAAUUCUGUGAUAAUCAGCAGCAUAAGAAGCAAACAAAGCCAUUAAGAAAUGUAGAUCAACCAAGUGCAUUCUCAUCCGCAAAAUAAUACAUUUCCAUAUCAAUACAUACCUCAUCUUGGGGAAUCGAACUGAGAAAAUGUCGAGUUCUAAUAAACAAGCCCAACUACUCGAAUUUUAUUGCCCAUAUAAAGGCCCAGUAGCAUAAGUGGUCGGGCCGACCUCUUGCAGGCUUUAGGCCCACUACAAUUACUAAUUAAUUUCUCUGUUUCAAAAUAUAAAAACUCCUUAUUUUUUGAUAAUGGAAUGAGACAUUCCGGGCUUUGCUUACCAUUUCAAAUUUGCACUAAAAUAUAAUCAUUUAAAAAUUACUACUUCUACAACUACCUGUUAUUCAAGUUUCUUUACAUUUCGAACCAUGUCUUAAUAUUAUACUCUUAACCUUAAUCUCUAAAAAAAAUCUAAAAAUAUUUAUAUUUUAAAAUGAAAGUAGUAGUUAGUUCCACGGUACAGUGCCGUACGGUGGGCGACUAGCCAGUGGUUAAUACUCAGUGGCUUUGUUCGGAUGGUCUAGCUACAGCAGCAAGCAACAGCUUCAUGCAGCCAUGUGUUUGUACAGCCAAACGCCUACAUUGUGCAGCACGGCUUAAAACGCUGCAGCAAAGGCCUACCGAACAGGCACAGUGUAUUCCAAAAUACAGCAGAUGAAAUUACCUAGUUAUGCUUUAUAAUACAAGGUGUGCAUGCAAGCACUCAAUUAAAAACUACAUUUUUCCCCUAAUUUUGUUUUUUUAAUCCUCCAUCCUCUAUAUCUCAUGCAUUGUAUUUAUUGAGUUGCUCCAUACAAGGAGGCAAUAAUAAUUCUUUAUUUAUCUUUAUAUUUACAAUGGUUUGGUCUUAUAUUUAGGGAUGGAGGGAGUAAUCGAAAAGGCUUGGUCCUACUUAGAGCGGGUACAAUAGACCAACAUGUCCUGGCGAUAACAGUACCACGUCGACUGUGUUGCUACGCUGGAGGAGAGAGAGAAGAAGAGAGAGUGUGAGCGAGCGACAAUUCUAUCGCCAGCUCUAGCACUAGUCUCGAGGUGAAAAGCUUAGCAAGGACAGAGAAAAUGAGUUAUAUAUGCAAAACUGCACAUAGCACAGCGGACAGCGGACAUACUCCCUCCGUCCCAUAAAAAGCAAACAUAGGAUGUGAUGUGAUCUUUUAUAGUACAAUGAAUCUGGACAUACAUUUGGCUAGAUUCAUUAUACUAUAAAACGUCACAUCCCAUCCUAGAUUGGGAUUUUAUGGGACGGAGAGAGUAAGCUAUGGAUUAACGAUGCAUCACCUCUAGAGCCUACUUAUUGUAUGGGUUAGCUUUUAAAUCAACUUUAGAUGACCUGGAAACAAUUGGAGUUUGCGACGGGCGAUAUUAAACUUGCUCUUAUGAAACUUUGACCACAACCUGUUCACCUAGGUUUAAAAUCUAAAUUUGACACGGAUGUUCACAUUUACAUUAUCAUUAAUAGUAAGAUAUAUGUGAUAACUUUGUCAACCUUGGUUUAACAUCCAAAUCACAUAGGUAGUGUAUUCGUGUGUGCAUUUAUAAAGGGUGAUUGUCCGUGCAGGUAUGAGCGAGUGCGUUUCAAAACAAAAGAAAUAUUUUUUAUAUGUUUAUGUAAAGUGAAAUCUUUGAGAAAAUACAUCGAAGUACCUAAACUCUACACUGAAAUUUUUUUUGGUACAUCUAGAUAUUUAAUACAUGGAGGUAUUAAAUUAUAUUAUAGGAAAUAUGAUACAUACCGAUACCUUAAAAUUAUCCAAUUGUAAAACAAAUAAUACGUUCGUUGCUAGAUGAUUGGGAGAGAAAGCACCUCGUUUUCUGCGCGCACACUUCGCAAAAUACUAAAUGGUGCAUUUGUUGGAAAAAAUUUAUAGGAAAGUUAUUUUAAAAAAUUAUAUUAAUCUAUUUUUAAAAAUUAAAAUAGUCAAUACUCAAUUAAUCAUGCGCUAAUGGCUCAUCUCGGGUUUGCGGUGUCCUUCUGUUCGGUACCCUCUUUUUCGGGUCCUCUCCCUUGUUUUCCACACGCACGCUUUUCAAACUGUUAAAUGGUACGUUUUUUUUAAUAAAGUUUCUAUACGAAAGUUAUUUAAAAAAUCAAAUUAAUCUAUUUUUUUUAAAAAAAAAGCUAACACUUAAUUAAUCACGCGUUAAUGGACCGCUCCGUUUUCCGUGCUUUAGUGUUCCGGUUAGGAACUGGAAAUAGCGAACACAACAGUCACCUCCACUGGUAGAGAAGUGGUUUUUACUCCCGGUUCAUAACCCCCUGUAGUCCCGGUUUUCCAUCCGGGACUAAAUAUCGCUAUCGAUCUUUAGUCCCAUGUGAAUUAACUGGGAGUAAAAAUCUAUUUUUAGUACCGGCUAGUGUUACUAACUGGAGUCUUUGUUGUUACCAACCGGGACGAAAGAUAAAGUCAGGCUAGAUCCGGUUGCUCCUUUAUUCUUUUCUUUUCUUUUCUUCAUUUCGUUGUUUUUAAUAUAUUGAUUUCUCUCCAUCCCGCCCCCAAAAUCCCAAAUCAAUCAUCCCCGAAUUGUAAAAUCUCAAAUCGAUUAUCACCUCUAAAUCCUCAAAUCGAUCAUCUCCAAAUACAUCACAACUUCUAUAAAAUUCAUCACCAAUACAUUACAUAUUCACAUCACACACAAAUCAAAUACAUCUCAAUCCGAAUCACAAAUCCUAAAAAAAAAAAACCUAAAUCGGCGCCUACGCCCGCUCCCGCGCCGCCCGCUGCCAUGUCCCCACGACGCCGCCCGGCCCUCCGCGAGGCGGCCCGGUGCGCCGCCACGCUGGCCAUCCGGCCCUCCGCACCCGGCCGCCGCGAGCGCCGCUGCAGAUGGGGAGGAGGGGGGAGGGAGAGGAGGAGAGGAAGAGAGGAGUUAAAGGAGAGGAAGAGAGGAGUUAAAGGAGAGGAGAGGGAGAGGAGAAGGAGAGGAAGAGAUAGGGUGUGAGGAGAGGAGGAGAGGAGGAGGAGAUAUGUGUCUAUCCGAUCCACGCGCACGCCUCUCCGUAUAUGUCGAUCUUAUUUCCCGGUUGGUAUUACCAACCGAAACUACAAAUAGAUCGUUAGUCCCGGUUGGUAACACCAGUAAAGCUUAUGUUGAUCUUUUUUUCUCGGUUGGUAACACCAACUGGGACUAUCGGGACUAAAAAUUCAAAAAGUACCCCUAAGCUUUUAAACUGGGACUAAAGAUGUUUUUAGUCCUGGUUUUAAUACAACCGGAACUACUGUGAAAUCUGGUUGACCGACCGGGACUAAAGAUGUUUUUAGUACCGAUUUUUAGUACAACCAGAAUUACUGUGAAAUCUGAUCGACCGAUUAAAGAUGGGUCCCUCCAUUCGUGCUCUUUUCCUAAGAGUACACGGGGUUGCAGAAAGAAACAAACAACGGAGGAAGCUGCUUGGACACCUGCAGUGUUUGCACUUUGCAGUGGGCGAAACGCGCUAUAUCGUGGAGUGGACUCGAAGUUGAGCGGACUUGCAAUCGUGCAGAGCUGAAGCGGUGGGGAAUGGCGGUGCAGUCCGCGGCAAUCGGCAACCCCGGGAUCUCCGACGACUCCGCCGCCGAGCCCGGCCGCCGGAUGCUGGGAGCUGCCGAGGAAGCCGUAAACAGGUGGGUAUCCCGGGAGGCGGCCGCCGAUGGCGGCUACGGCGUCUCCGAUUUCCCCGCGCUCGCGGCGGCGGUCAAGGAUCUCAUCUCCCUCGGCUCACACGGCGGCGCCUACAGCCAACGCGCUAAGCUUGCCUUGGAGGUAACCUGUAUGUUCAGAAAAUCUGUACCUUCAUUUACGCAAGGUAAUCUGCAUACUAUUGUGUGUACACUGUACAUGUUUUCAUUGGGGAAAGUUUUGGAUUUGUUUGAUCUAGCAGUAGAAGAAUGGUCAGUAUCCUAUUAGCAGAAGUUAGAAAGGUUGGGUAUAAAUUCAAAUAGUAAUUAUGAGACCAGUGAAGUACUGUAUAAAAUACUCAGAUUUAUGACUAUGAGACUGCUUUGGUCGAAUUGCAGAUUAUAAUCUAGAAUUGAUUUUUAAAUGUUUAGAAUUCAAAUUUGUAGUAAUUUUAGGGGUUUUUUUUCACUAUUUCCAGUGCAUCUAGAACUCAUUGCAUGUUUUUUUUAAAAAAAAAAUAGCUAAAAUAUAUUUAAGAUUCAAAAAAACGCUUGCAGCAUAGCUUUCCACCUUUCUUCACCGUGUCUAUUUAUUUGGGUUCAAAGCAUUUAACUAAUAACUAUGCCAUAGCUAUAAUUUUACGCUGAGUCCGCCACUAGUAACCAGGAUGUAUAUUCCCAACUGGAAAUGUCGCAGUGCACGUCUGAGAUGAUGCUUUCAAUGUUGAAAGUUUAGAAGUCAGCCGCCGAAUGACAAGCUCAAAAGAAAUAAGAUUCGCACUUACAAAGAAAUUAGAGAAAACCCGAAAUACCAUUCUUGUGUAAAUGGCAAGUGGUAUUUCGGAAAGCUGAGAACGUGUGUCGAUCGUAUGAGAGCAGUUAUUCAAAACUGUGCAGAAGGUUUUAUGAACAGAGAGUGGUUGCAGACAAGAGAAAAGCAAAUAUUCAAAACUGUGCAGAAGGUUUUCAUCAAAGGAGCUGCUUGAUUAACAAUUUUAGAAUUCUACGGGAUCUUCUUUGUCGUUGUUACACAAAUUUAUUCAAAAGUGAACUACAUGUAUUUCUUGCUUUAUUCUCUCUUCGAACAGUGUUCUAUGCAUUCUGCCGAUCUGCAAGGGACUAUCUAUCCUACUGGCGCCACAAUGAUAAACCCCUUGGGUUGAAGCCCUCCCUGUUUGAGAUCUCAUUUUCCUUUCUUCAAUCCUUAUGGAUAUUCUUAUCGUUGGCAGUAUAAGAUAUUACAAUUUGAAAACAAACCAUUUUCUUGUUCCUGGUGACUUCUUGAACGAAUUUCUGGUCAGUUCAGAAAAAAGACAUCUGAAACUUUGUUACGCCCACGGUGCCACCAUCUUAUGAAUGCAAGUAUUGCCUACUAGUAGUUACAUCUCACUGGAAAUACUACACCACCAUAGAAGACUACACUAAUGCAGUUUAGUAUCAAACUUUAAGUCCAGUACUAGUACUAUGUAGGAAGUAUUGAACUGACCAUUGUUUUUUUUCUGCUAGUACUUUGUAGGAAGUAUUGCACUGACAAUUAUUUUUUCUGCAGUCUGCAAUGGGACACCUUGAGGACGACUUCUGCCAAGUUCUUAUUUCAGGCACAUACUUUCAUCCCCCUGACAACCUCCAAGCAUCACUAUAUGACAGCAUUGCCCUGCCUGUCCGAUCCUCCUCGUUCUCAUAAAUAACCAACUUGGAGGCUGCCAGCUUAUCCUCAUUCACAACAAGCUCUAGUGAUGAUAGAUGGACAUACUGUACUGGACACAGCAGAGAUUCUUUCUCCCUGGAGAAGGUACACCUGUAUCUCAUCGACCCUGAAGCUUCAACAUUGCUAAAGGAGAUCGCUGAGCUCAUGAUGCUUGCUGGACAUGAAUCAAACCUUUCUCAUGCCUAUGGUGAGAUCCGUAAUAGCACAUUGAUGCAGUGUCUUUGUCUGUUCGGUGUUCAAAUCGAUCUUAACAGCUAUAAUCCAAGAGCUUCUCCUUCUGAAAGUGGGUUCAACAUGCUACUAGAUCUAGAUGGACAAAAGAUGGAAAUAUGGAUCCAAGCUCUCAGAGUCAUUAUUGGCACAGUACUUCCUGAAGAGCGUCAGGCUUGCACACAGAUUUUUGGGUCCGACAGCAAGGUGGAGGAGGACUGCUUUGCCAGAGCCACUAUGCGUUUUAUUCAACAAUUAUUUGCAUUUGGAAGCCUGAUAGCCAAUGUGAAAGACGAACAGUAUGAGAAAGUGCCCCUGCUCGUACAAAUGCUUGAGGAAUUUCUAAAGCUUAAACCGAGCAUAGAAGCCCUCAGGUAUGGUGAUGCCAAGGACGCAAUCAGCCAGGAGGCUGACAUGCUUCUUGAAAAGCUCAGGGAAGAAGCAGUUCGCCUACUAUUGAAGUUUUCAGAAGCACAGAUCAACCAUGAGUCCUAUGAUAAUGAAACGAUAGUGCUCAACGGCAGCGUCCUAUCGUUUCCUCAGUAUACCAUGGGUGUUAUCAAACUUCUUGCUGGUUACAGUGACACGCUCAAUAUUAUUUUACCAGUAGAGGUGGGUGGUGUUGGCACUGUGACUACAAGCCCCUGGAAGAGCUACGUUCUCACUCUGCUCACUCGUCUACAGCUAAAUAUUGAGGAGAAAUCCAAAUCUUACAAAGACGAAUGCCUGCGGAAUGUAUUCCUGAUGAACAAUGCGAUGUAUGUGCUUGAAAAGGCACGAUCUCCGGAUCUGAAGAUAUUGUUAGGAGAUAACUGGGUCACUAAACAGCUUGUCCAGGUGGAACAGCAUGCAACGGCUUAUCUCCGAGCUUCUUGGACUGAACCUCUGUUUCAGUUGAAAGACAAAGGGAUCAACUACACAGAGAGAAGUUUGAUAUUGACAAAAAAAUUCAAGAACUUCAAUUCAAUAUUCGGAGAAAUAAGCAGGGUCCAGACGACGUGGAAAGUCCCCAACCCUCAGCUUCGACAACACUUGCGCCUUGUUAUAUUACAGCAGGUUAUUCCAGCAUAUCGGGCAUUCGUGGGACGAUUUGGUAUGCUUUUGAACUCAAAAUUCAUAAAAUACACUCUUGAGGAUAUAGAGAAUAAUGUGUUGGACCUAUUUGAAGGCUAGGGGUGAGAAGCCAACAUGGAAAUGUCUAAAUAAUGGACGUACUAGGACCUCAUGUUGUCAUGCAGUGAGUUACAAGUAUAUUGAUCAACGGAAGGUAGAAUAGAUCACAUUCAACACGGCAAUAUGAAAAAUACUUUUGAGACUACUUAAUGUAAUCGUGUACAUAUCAUGUUAUAUAUGAGCCUCUAUGACUGGACUACAAAUGUUUAUCUAUGUUAUUUAUGUUCUUGCCCGUAUGUGGGUUUUAAACUUCAGUGUAACAAAGAUGUACUAAUAUUUACACAUAUUGUUCUCAAAAAAAAAUAUUUACACAUAUUACUGUUCAUGCUGAUGUUAUAUCACAUGGAUGGCUGAGGUGUCAGCUCAAUCUCUUUCGGAGUGAUAUGAGUUCAUAGCGUCAGCCAGCCGUUCCACAAUGUAGCUUGAAAUUGACCAUGGGGAACUAAAAAUAGCAGAAAUUUCUCCUUUGAACGGAAAUUGCAGAACUUACAUGUACUGUCGUACAAGAACUGUCAAAUCUUGUUACCGUAACUACGUCCAUUUCGUUGAUGUGCCUCGAUCGGUCCGUCUCACUGUCUGCUUGGUAUCGAUCUUAUCAUGCUAUGUGAGAGCGCUUGCAAGUUGCAACCCAGCUGCACAUCUUCUCGAGCCUGUAUUGGAAGUAAAAAAUCAAAUCUACGUGAUUAGAUCUUAAUAUAACGAAUCUGUAUAGUAUUUUGUUUAGAUUUGUUAUACUAGAAUGAAUCAUUCUCUUAUUCAGAUUCGUUAUAAUAAGAUGUAUCAAAUCACAUACUAGAUUUGUUUUUAUGAGAUGGAUAAAGUAUCCCCUCCGUCCCAAAAUAGAUGUCUUCCUAGAGUUCAACACCCUCCCCCCCCCUCCCCCCAAAUUUCCUCAUAUGAUAUUAUUUCAACCGAAUUUUUAUAGUUUUUCUUCUUCUUUUUUGAAUUUGGCAAUAUUUUGGUAUAUUGACACCCUCCUAUACAAACGUCAAAAAACAAAAGAUUAAACAUUGCUUUAGAGUACUAGUUGUCACAUCAAUCACUUCUAAUUUAAAUUUAUCUAUGUUCUAUCCAAAUUUAUUUUAAAUAAGGGGUAAUAUAGUCUUGUCUUUCCAAACUUAAUUUAUAUUAAAUUAUCAAGAAUGAUAAAUAUUGUGGGACGGUGAGAGUAAUAAGUAGUUUCAUACAAAAGGGGAGGGGGGGGGUAAACUGUCGCCGGCAAUCAGAAAAUGAGAUCGGCGCUAUACAGAAAUGAGGCCAGCACUUGUGGAUUCACUGGUCAACUACGAGCUUCUGCUCUGGAGCUAUAGCUCGUCUUCGUGGUCAGGCUCGGAGUUGAAGAAUAAUAGAUGAGCAGGAUUAGCCAGCAAGGUGAUCUCCAUCACUUUUCGUGCUGGAUACUGAAGAGCUGACGAUAACAUGUCCAGAGAUAGUUGGCGAAAAAUCAGAUGAGAGAGAAUUAGUCGCAAGUAUCACACAUGCUCCCAUAAUAUAUUAUGGGACGGAUGAAAUAUUAGUAUAGUACUACUCCCUAAAAAAGUGCGUGUCCAAGGAUUGAUAUAUAUAUAUAUAUAUAUAUAUUUUACAGAGAGAAGAGAGCAAUACUAAAACCUAUACUAAAACCUAUAGUAGUAUUCAUUAACUAAGUGAGUGUGACCUAAAAUAACAAAGUGACUGCGAAGUGAGUAUAUCUCAUCUAGUUAGGUUUUGUGUGGCUAUGUGGUGGAACCAAUCCACUUAGGGUUAAUUUCUGAUCAUAGUUAUUAAGACCGGACCGGUGAUCGAACCGUUAAAGCACUCGGUUCACUGGUUUGUUGGUUGGACCGGUCAAACCGCCGGUUAAAAGCGGUUCAAAUAGACGUGUGUUGUAUAUGUUUCACAAGUUGUGGCAUAGCCUGGUGGUUGAGGCUCUCCCUGGAAACCAGGGUGUUUUGGGUUUGACUCUCAGAUUCUGUAGCUUUUUUCCUAUUUUCUCUAACUCCACGUGGCGCCCAUGUAACCACCCCCGCUUGACGCGUCCCAGCGGUCGAACCACCCCGGUUUUUGUCCGGUUCUGGCAGUAAACCGUCCGGUUCAACUGGUUCUCGCCGGUUUGAUUGCGCACCGGUCUUUUAGCUGGACCGGACCGGCCGACGCCCUAGUUCCGGUUUUUCCCUAGUUCCGGUUCUAAUAACUAUGGUUCUGAUGAGGACAUCAACACCAUCGAUACAUCCACGUCCCCACAAGUACAACUUCAUGGUCCUAUUACCCGCGCUCGUGCACGUCAACUUAACAAUCAGAUGAGUUCCUUCUUGAGUUCAUUUUCCUCUUCUUUAUACCCCGGAGACACGUGCAGUCUUGUUUUACUCAGGAACGAUGGAGAAGAUCCGAGGAUCCAAAGGGGAGAGGAUUUCCGCGGGUUGGAUUCGGACUGCAGGACAGCACCAACUUCUGACGGUCGCCACAACUUCAUGCGAACUCCGAUUUGGGCGUGCAAGUACUUCAUGGAAAGCUUAUCAAGUCUACUUUCAAAUUGAUCCAGCCACAUGUCCAUAUCUGUUCUAGAGCGGCUGCAAUCGUCGUUUUAGUCCCGACUGCUUUCUGUCCAUGGUGCUGCGUCACCUCCUUUGGCCCAAUGGGCUGUGUAUCAAGUUGGGCCCAUUAGGGGCGCGUCCUAGGGUUGGAGCACGACCCUGUGGUUGUUCUUCCCCUCUACCGGCUCGCAGCGCGCGUGUUGGCUAAACCGCCCGUCUGCUUGUAAUCAGAACCCCACCAUAUUGUGUUUUUUAUUGUAAAAACUUUCAUCUUCAUCUAGCAAUUCAGUGCUUGUUUUACUUGUUCUUGCUUAUUCUUCGAUUGCUUGCAGGAUGAGUGCCCUCGUGGCCGGGUUGACGCGCACCACAAGUUCGCGGUGACCAUUGGAGAAGGUGUAUCGGUUGCUAAGGGCAGCGUCUUUGGACGGUUGUAGUCGGGCCGUGAACGUCGUCUUCAUCCAAUCGACUUAUCCCCACCUCUCAUCGAAAGAUCGGGCCACAAACCCUAGCGGUUCGCAUCAAGUUCCAGACUUGAUACUAGUGAUUACAUUUAUAGCUAUUCAUUCUUUUAGUGGUAGGUAACAUACUUGUCGACAUCGAGACGCCUAUGAUAACUUUAUCAGUCUUAAGAUAUGUUGGCUUAGUCUUUUGUAUAUAUUUAUAGUGAUAGAUAUAUGUUCUCAGGGAAUGAGUGUGAGCAUUUGUAUUGUUUUCCUUUAAAAAAAAAAUAAGGGGACUAACAAUUUUGUGAUAAUCAAUCAGUCCGAUUCCCAUAAAAUUGAAAAAAUUGAUAUUCUCUCUCUUAUGGAGCAUAAGACCCCAUUUGAUACAGCUCCAGAUAUUAGAUCCACGAGGAUUUGAAUUCUGUAUGUUAAAUUAUAGUGGUUUAAAGUUAUAUAUUUCUCCUUAAAUGAUAACAAAAUAAUUCAUCUAAAUAUUAUUAACAUAAUCAAUUAAUCAUAUAUCUAUAUCCAUGAAUUUGUGAAGCUAGGAAUACUCAUCCAAAAGAAAUCUUGGAUCCGAAGAUGUGCCAGACAGGUCUAACUACCAUAUUUAGGCCCAUAUAAAGUCCAGUAGCACAAGAGGUCGGCCCGACCUCCUGCAGGAUUUACCUCUAGCUGUGUUCGACUGGCCGGUGGGUCCCACGCCGCAAGACCCAAACCCCCAAAAUUCUCCUUUCGUUUCCCUCUCCGCGAUUCAAAUCUCUCUCUCUCUCUCUCUCUCUCUCUCUCUCUCUCUCUCUCUCCGCUCCCAAAUCUCCUCGCCAUGGCGCCCGCCGCGGCCGUCUCCGCCGCAGCCCCCGCCGGAGCCGGGGAGACGAGGCGACUGGCGGGGGAGGUGGCGCGCGUGCUGGACGAGUGCCGCGCCUCCCUCGCCGUGCACCCGCGGAAGCUCAGGGAGCUCGCGGCGCUCCGCUCCUCGUCCCCCGCCGCCGCGGGCCGGUUCCUCCCGGCCUUCUGCGCCGCGCUGACCCCGCUGUUCGACCUCGCGAAGCGAUCCGCGGGGGCCGAGCGCGUCGCGCGCUUCGCCGCCGCGUUCGCCUCGGCCUCCUCCGCGGCGGCUGGGUGCGGCGGCGGCGACGGGUUCCUCGAGGGGUUCCUCAGGUUCCUCCUCGCUGGCUCCGCCGCCACGCACCGUCCCGCACGCUUGCGCUCCUGCCAGAUCAUUUUUGAGGUGAACCAAGGAAAUUCCUGUAAUAUUUUAUUUCCGUUUGCUUUCGUCAGUACUGGUCACUGGAGAAGUUUGUAUAAUUUUGGAUGCUAUGUUAAUGUUGUGUUUAAUUCUGCUAUUGUGUUCUGCAAUUUUGCAAAAUUUUAGCAAAAGAGUAUCUAAAAAAACUUUUCAUUCCUACAGCCUCUCUUUUGAUAUAAUUUGUUUAUUGCAUGGAGCAUUUCGCUUUGGUCGUAAGGAACCCUGUAAUUUCAGUAGUUCUUACCUCACAAUUUAGAUGGUGUAGUGUAGGGAGGAUCGAUUUUGACUUAUAUUGCUGAAUUACUAACAGUUGAACUCUUCACGUAGAUAAUAAUGCGCUUGCCGGAUGAUGCUGAGGUGAGUGAUGAGAUUUGGGAUGAAGUUAUUGAUGGCAUGAAGGUUCGCGUUCAGGAUAGAAUCCCUGGAAUUCGUGCCUUCGCUGUGCGUGCAUUGUCUCGCUUUGCGAGUGAUGGGGAGGACAGUGACAUUGUUGAUCUUUUCCUUGAGACCUUUGAAAAAGAACAAAAUGUGGUAAGUGAUAUCAUUUUAGUAACUUUACCUAUUCUGAAUGUUGGACUUCGCUAUUAUUUCAUCUCACUAGGGAUUGCUCCAUUUGUGAAGGAGGUCCGGAAAGCAAUUAUUUUGUCUCUUCCGCCUUCAAAUGCUACACUGGAGACUGUCAUUGAAUCAACGCUUGAUGUAAGUGAGUCUGUUAGGAGAGCAGCAUACUGUGUGCUUUCAACCAAAUUUCCCCUACAAAGUCUUAGGUGAGUAGUCCUGUCCACUGGACACUCGAUGUAGAAAUGACAAAUGUAUUUGAAUGGAAUGAACAGUCUAAUACUAUAUAAGUGAAUUGAUAGUUUCUUUGUUUCAGCAUCAAGCAGAGGACAAGUCUUCUUCACAGAGGUCUCUCUGAUAGGUCUGCAUCAGUGAAUAGUGAAUGCCUGAAAAUGCUGAAGGAUGAGUGGCUUAUGAAAUAUUGUAGUGGAGAUGUCAUCACCCUUCUCAGGUUUCUUGAUGUUGAGACUUAUGAGGAAGUUGGAGAAACAGUAAUGGGGGUGCUUAUGAAAGAUGGUUCUGUGCGCGUGCAAGAUGGGCAGACUAUUAGGCAGUACUUCACUGCAAAUACUGAGGAUGAAGGUAAAAUCUAAGCACAACCAUCGGUAUAUUUUCGUAGUCAUGCAUAUUUCCUUUAAUUAUUAUGCCCAUGCCUUCAUGGUGAAAUCUGAAUAUCUGGUCACUGGCCAUGCAACGCACUUCAAUAAAAUAACCAAACCUAAAAGAUAAUGCUGAACGCAAUGCACAGAACUGAACGGAUCUGUUCAGGUAUACCACUGACAACAAGUAUGUAUUAACGGGCUGAUCAAUUCAUUAUCUAUGGCCCUGUUUCUUUCAGCUUAGGAUUAUUAUAAUCCAGAUUAUUGGGAGUAAGCUGAAAGAAACAGACAACUUAUUGAAGUAGCUUAUUAUAAUCUGGAGCCUAGCUUAUUAUAAUCUGAUAAGCUCAUUUAGGUGAGCUUUUUCCAGAUUAUUGGGUGAAAAAUUACCCACCAUGCCACCCACUCCCUCUUUAGACUUGCAAACCCAAUAAUCUAGGCUCUAAUAAUCUAGGAAAGAAACAACUAACCGCUUAUUCUACUACAGAUUAUAACAAUCUAGCUUAUAGUAAUCUGACUCAAUAAUCUAGAUUAUAAUAAUCCCAAGCUGAAAGAAACAGGGCCUAUGUCAAUGGUGGUCAUCUAGUCCUAUCUCUUUAGCCGGAUAGAUCCUUGAUUCAAGUAGAGGCUGGAUAAACUUCCAUUAUAUAUAAAAAAAGUCACACUUCUCUUUUUCUGUUUGUUGAUGGCACUCUCUGUACAACAAUUGCAGCAGAAAAGGUUUCCAAUAUUCAGCUUAUGGAUGCUGAGGUUGCUCUCUACUGGAAAAUUAUGUGCAAGCAUUUGCAAGCUGAAGCUCAGGUAAGCACUGUACUUUGCUUUUCAUGUGCAAUAUAUUUGUUGUUCAUGGUACUUGUACAAUAACAGGAUGAUGCAUAUACGGUAGUAGUUAUUGUUGCAAUUGUUUAAACAUGGGAUGAUAGGAAACAAAAUCCUGGAAAUCACAUAAGAAAGAGAAUGAAAAUGGAAGUUGUUGCUUAUGUGUGCUGAUUUACCCCUGAACCUGAUUAUGGACUAUUUAGUUUAUUUUCACAUUUUUUGCACAGUCAACUUACAAACAUUUUAAGUUUGUUAUUUUACAUGUUAUGACUAGCAUAACGCUGUAUCUUUAUGACGUUGGCAUAUUUAACCAAAACUAGCUGGAGCAAUGUGUGGUAAUCAACCAAAUAGCUCCGCAGAGGGUUCUUUGGUGGCAGAAAAAAGGUGCCUCUUGUUAUGACUUAUGAUUGCUUGUCAAGAGAUAUUCCAGUACAAACACCGGCAUGCUAUAUAAUACGCCAAAGUUGGUGUUUGAGUCACAAACAGAUUAAAGUUCUUGUAAUUGCAAAACUCCUUUUGUUUUUGCUGAAGUAGUAUUGGGCCAUAUGGCACUAUUUAUGUCAGAGGAUAUGUUCGAAACUUGGAAUUCAGCACAGUAAUAAGGUUGUAUUGGUCCCAUCAAUGUAUACUGCCCUGAUCAGUGCUUUGCUUGAUUCAUGAAACCAAUGUACUGAUAGUAAGUAAUUAUUUUUCAGAUCAAAGGCUCGGAGGCUGCAACAACUACAGGCACAGAAGCAGCAGUAUAUGCUUCUGAGGCUUCUGAUAAAAAUGAUCUUCUAGACAGUGUUCUUCCUAGCACAAUAUCUGACUACGUUGAUUUGGUAAAGGCGCACCUUUCUGCUGGUAAGUUGAGUUCGAAAACAAUAUAGAUUGAGCAUUCCAAUAUGUACAAACUAAUUCACCAUUGCCUGUAUGUUCCAUUUCAGGACCAAAUUAUCACUUUGCAUCACGGCAACUAUUGUUGCUCGGUGAAAUGCUUGACUUUUCUGAUACCAUGAACCGUAAAAUUGCAAGUUCAUUUCUACAUGAGCUUUUGACCAGGCCUCUUGAACAUGAAGUUGAUGAAGAUGGGAAUAAGAUGGCUAUUGGAGAUGGUGUGAGCCUUGGAGGGGACAAGGAGUGGGCCAAAGCAGUAGCAGAAUUGGCUAAAAGAGUGCAUGCUUCUGUUGGUGAAUUUGAAAUGGUGGUUGCUACUGUUGUUGAAGAACUGGCUCGACCAUGCAGGGAGAGAACUGCUGACUUCAUGCAUUGGAUGCAUUGUCUCGCUGUGACAGGCCUUCUCCUAGAGAAUGCUUCAUCCCUACAGAGCCUUCAAGGCAAAGCAAUUGAACCUCUGGAAUUACUUCAGUCUUUGUUGCUUCCUGCGGUAAGUUUAACUGUUCUACAUUCUUUUGGUUUACAACACUUUGUAUGCUAGCAUUAUUUUGUGCCCUUCCGGAUACUAAACAUAUGUCCUAAUGUUCCUCUAUUGAGUACUAGUCCUGAAUUUGAUGACGUUUAUCUUAUCCCUGCAGACAAAGCAGAAUCAUGAUGAUGUACAAAGGGUUGCUUUGAGAUGCCUUUGUCUUUUUGGAUUGCUAGAGAACAGACCAAAUGCAGAGUUGGUGAAGCAAUUGAGGUUAUCAUUCAUCAAUGGACCUGACCUGGUUAGUGCCAUGGCAUGCAAGGCCUUGAUUGAUCUUGUAACUUGGCAUGGUCCACAAGAAAUAGACCAAACCAUUGGAAUUGAGUCAUCUGAUGCUACCAACGAGAAAUCCCAAUUUACUACAGUAGACGUCUCCAAUAUGAAUGAUGACGAUCUAAAUAUUGGAGUUCUUGAUAUUCUAUUUUCUGGGUUUCUUAAAGAUGAUUGGGAGUUUAAUCUUGAAGGUGAUAAUCAUGAUAAUGUCCCAACCAUUCUUGGUGAAGGUUUUGCAAAAAUUCUUCUUCUAAGCGAGAACUAUGCAAGGAUAUCUGCUGACUUGCAUCCUAUAAUCCUGGCUCGACUUGUCAGUUUG
rnacentral:lncRNA from 1 species